AGCCAAUAUUCCAUUUACCUCUACAACAAAAAGUUUUAAGUAAACAAUCCUAAUGCCUGCAGACAAAUAAAACGCAGUAAGAAUAUUCAACUUAAAAAUCUGAAAGCCAUCAUGGUGAAUUGCCUUCUUAGGUGAAGUUCCAUGCUUUACUACUCUUGACAGAAAUGAGCAAAAGCUUCCAUACAACAGAUUUUGAAAAUGAUGAUGCCAAUAGAUACUCAUUCAAUCCAUUGAAACUCCUAAGGUUCAUUGUUCAUAGAGGUUUACAGAGUUUUGGUCAUCAAAUAGCUCAGACCAUAAUCCCAAACAAAAAACGAGUGAAAAUUAGAUCACGAGCAGCUAAUUGUAAAUUUUAACUUAACUCUUCAUCUCCUUUGUAAACAGGAAACAAAAUGGAGAUGCGCAAAAUGAAUAAGGAGAACAUUUGAACUCAAAUGAAAUGAGGGCACGAAAGCAAACAAAUGGCAUACACAACCAAACAAAGCCUCAAUCAAAAACUAAUCAACGAUUAAAAGAAAUAAAAAUUGGUCAGAGAAUGAACUCCAAAUUCGGGAGUGAAGCAAGAAGUUUUCAUUAUUUCAGAAGCUCCUGUACAAAUUAAUCAGUUAUGCUCUUUCGAAACAAACCUAAAUUCCAAGAGAAACAGAACCCAAAAAAUUUGCAAUUAUACGCAAAGGAAGUGAAGCACAGCAUUCUAUUACACAUAGGAAUUGUAUAACAAGAGAUUGAUAUAUCGGAUUAGAAGAACUCAAUUCUAAUUUGUGUCAAAAAUCAAAAUUAGAAGAUUUCACAUUUCGAGAGGAACAAGCAACAGGUGAGGUUAUAAAUUUCAGCCAUAACUAGCUAAAAAUGCUAAACUUAACGGGUUAUUUUCGUGGAUUUUCUCGGGAAACAAACAGAAAAUUACGGUUUAGAGAGCUGACUAACCUUUUGGCUUUCAGAAAUUAGAAUUGAGAGGAUCGCGCGCCAAAGUGGAAGAGGGGAAGAAAAAGUGCGGGUUUUAAUAGGGUAUUAGAAAAGGAAAUUUCAUUAGUUUGCGAGGGUAAAAUAGGAAAGACGAUCACUAUUUUAUCAUUGAUAAUUAUUAACCGAUUUUUUUUCAAAGAAAAAAGAAUAAUCAAGGAUAUUUUAUUCUCAUUUGCAACCUUUAUUUCUUUUAAAUGCUAUUAGAAAAACAGGACAACAAGGAAAUACAUUUUUUUAAUAUUUUUCCUGAAGGCAAAAUCAAUUGUUUAGCUUCUUAUUUUAUAAUUAAACUCCAUAAUUUAGUUUAAAAAAAAGUGUUUGAAAAUUACUCUGAAUAAUAUCCAACAGACCAACAAAGUAAUCGUUUUUAUUUUUUUUCAUUUUUACCGGAAAUUUAAAACUUAAAAAUAUUGAAAGCUAUUGUAAAUUUUUUUAUUAUCAACCUCAUAAUUUAAUUUUUUUGGGGGAGGGCAGUGGGGGUGGUGGGAAUUGAAACUUUUUUUUUAAUUUCCAAGAAUUCCACCCUCUAGUUUUUCCAUUAGUAUUACUUAUCUUGAUACCCAUCUUAACUGAAUGCUAUAAUUUUUUUUUUCAAGAGUGCUAUACAUUCACUCACAGACAAAAGGCUUUUCCGCAGCAAUAUUAUUGUUUAAACUAUAACAAAGGGGAAAUCAAACACAUAAUACGGAAACUUAAGGCUCAAUCUACAAAAUCUAGAGCUCUGAACUACAUAAAUUACACUUGAUGAUCCUCUACAAGAUGAAGCUUGUUCAAUAUCUCAUCCAAAGCUUGUAAAGUAACCUUGUAACGAUCUUGAGAUCGCCUGCCUUCCUCGACGACCUGCACGAUGCGUUUAUACAAAUCAUCAUACCUGUGCGCCGGAUUUUUAAUAUCAAUGCCACUGCAGCUGUGAUCAAGAACAUAAGAACGUUUAACAUCUUUUCUCCAUCGAGAAAGAAUGUAGUGAGAUGGGAUCUCCUGCAUGCCACUCUGGUUUAGAACACAAAGAAUGUGUCUGCAUAAAUAUCCUCUGCAAUUGAACAACCCACAAACACAAAGCACCUCUAAGUCGGAGGCAUUGUACAAAACAUCGAAAGCCCUUGAAUCUUUCUCGUUGCUACCAACCUCGAAUUCUUCCUUCACUAUGUAUGUUAUAGGUCCAUCAGCACUAACAUGUUUUGUGCUAUAGCAAGAGUACAUAGCCUCCACCUCCGUCUGAAACUUCCUUAACAUUUCAUUUGUGUACAGUUUUGAGAGUUGAAAUUCAUAGUAACAUCUUGGUUUCUGGAUACAACUUGAAUUUCUUGAAUCCAUAUCUGCCAAGGCUUCCAGUUGAUAAUUCGCCCGCAGUGCUUGAUCAUACUUGUCUAAGAAUUCUUUCAAAGGAGUAUUCUUAUCAAGAUAUCCUUCAAAGUAUGAAGUAGAAACCUCAUUCUGCAGGAACGAAAACACUCCUGAUAAAUAAGCUUCCUUCAAAUAAACAGGAGCCCACCUUUUACGAUCUUCAUAUAAAGUUUGAAUCCAUCCGUGAUCCUUUAUUCCAUGACGUUGAAUCAUGUCUUCCCAAGCUGCUUCAAAUUCCUCAGGCCUGAGAGAGUGAUAAAUUGCUCUAUGUAAUGCAGCUCUAAUAGCUUCAUAUUCAAACAAUCCUUGGAGUUUCUCUGGAAUUUUUUGCAUGAUGCAUGACAAUGAAAAGCAAUGAUAAGCUCUUGGGAAAACAUCGCCAACAACAAUUUGCAAGAUUCUACAUUGGUCAGUGAUGAUUGUUUGUGGAGAGUGUCCUAACAUACAUGUAAGCCACGCCCUAAACAACCAUGUAUAUGAUUCUAUGGUCUCACUGGCAAGUAAACCACAACCCAACAACACUGAUUGUCCAUGAUGAUUCACCCCAAUGAAUGAAACCAGUGGUACAUCAUAUCUUUCAGUCAAGCACGUAGUAUCAAUUAAGACUACAUCACCAAAGUACCUAUAUGCAACUCUUGACCUGGUAUCAGUCCAGAACAGGUUUCUCAAGCAUCCCUUUUCAUUUAGAUCCACUACAUUAAAAAAGUUUGGAUCUGUCAACUGCAAACGACAAAAGAAACUCUGGACAGCUUGUGCAUCUCCUGGUUUAAGCUUCAAUUGAUUUGAGCUAUUAACAUUAUUUCCAAAUACUCCAUUAACGUCUACAUUACCAUUUCCCUCGGUAUCGAUGAUAAGAGUUCGAAACAGUCUAAUUUUUUGAACUUCUUCAGCACUAUCUAAUUGCAAUGUUCUUUUGGUUCCAAUACCUAUGUGCUUAUGUGACUUGUAAAACUUUCCGCUUCUUGGGCUUAACAAGUGGUUAUGCUCAAGCUCGACUUCAAUGAUUCUCCACCUUUUGGUUUCCAUCAACCUAAACUUUAUCAUUGCUGGACAGCCAGUUCUUGUUUCUGGUCUUGGGCGGUUUGCCUCGCUUUUCUUCUUGAAGCCUGCACUACUACAGCUCAGCUUUCCUCUAUACUUUUCUCUACUCUUUCGGUACCAUGUAUUGCUAACUCUAACACCAAAACCCUGUUCCUUGGCAUAGCAAUUGUAAAAGUAAUAAACGUCAUCAUACGUCUCGAACUCCAUUCCAACAGCAGGAGGCAAUGGAUUUUGGAUUAUCCCAAUUUGUCCAACAUAUUCAGUCAUUGCACAAUCUCCUACGACCUCAAAAUCAUCAGCAUCAUCAUCACCUACUGGUUCAGUAUUCAGAGAAACUUCAUCCAUCUACAAUAGAUGUUUAAUGAAGUGAACUUUAAAGAGAAAUAGCAAAAUCAGUUCAAGGAAUGAUAAUAUAACCAUACAGUUACUUUCACAAAGCUGCGUAUUUCAUCAAUACCUUAACAACAUACAACUGCCUGAGAACAUAUAGACAUGUCAUAGACGCUUGAAUUAAGUAUUGGUACAAAUUAGCACACAUCAUGUGGGACACAAUUUCAGUCACUAAACCCAAUGCCUUUUUUUUUCACAUCAUACCAAGGAACGGAUUAAACCCAAUACCUUCUUUUACGCCAUACCAAAGAACAGAUUAAAUCAUCAAUGAAAAAUUAAUCACAUAAUAAUUUAACUAGACAAAUAAAGAGCUCGAAACAGCACAAAACUUGAAUAUGAUUAUGAUAAUUGUUGAGUCCUUGUAUCUACAGCUUUCCUUCAACAAGAAGAUUAUGAACAUAAACUACACACAAAAAAUUUAUUUUAAACUGACAUAAAUUUAUUCAGUUACAUUGAAACACAAAAAAGGAAGCAGGAGCCAGAGAAAAACAACAGCAGAGAAACUUAUUUCCAGAAGGUUUACGAAAUAAGGAAUUUAUUAAGACACAAAAUUUGAGGUCAACAAUAAGAAUUUGGUUCUCAUUCUCUUUUUCUUCAUUUUUCACUUAUUGAUGGAGUUAGCGUACAAUCCUAAAUGAUAAAACCCCAUCUCCAUCUUUUUGAACUAGAGUUAAAGCAAAGCUUUUUAAGAUGUUUUUCCCUAAAAGACUCAAUAGUACAAUGUUUUUCAAUAUUAAAUACACAACUCAAUCUUCCCCUAAUUUACUCUAAUAAUCUCUUAACUAAGGAAGAUUAAGCUCCACUUGUAAGCUAAAACAAGUUUCUUAAAUCAAGCCCCAAUGCUCUAUGCUAUUCAACAAGGCCUCAUAAAUGAUAAAACUACCUCUACAAAGAUACCCAUUUUAAUUUCGCAAACUAAAAUCAAACUCCUGAAACGUAACGAGCAUUAAAACAAACAAGUCCGAACAAGAACUCAAAAAUGAUACGUAAACCCGUUUCGACAAACAGUUUCCAAUCAAUGAGCAAAAAAGUUAAUGGACAACAUGAAAUUCAAACGAAACAUACCUUAGGUUGAUAAAUUAGUAGCGCAAAAGAAAUUUUAGCGAGAUAUGGGAUCAGGGAUUUUGCCACGGUGAUGUUAAUUGCGACAUUCGGGUGACUCAGCAGCCUUCGAGGCUGAAACUUUGAUUGACCAAAAGCUUCCGGUUCGUUGAUUAUCUAAUUGCAGAAACGAAACUGGCAGUGUACAGAAGAAGUACGCUGAUUUGAUAAUUCUGUGAAAAUCAUUGUUUUUUUUUUCAGAUUUUUAAUGUGUUCGAUAAAAUAUCAAAAUCUCAAAAACUUUUGUCUUUCAUUUUGGGGGGGAAAAACCCAUUGAGAUCCUUAUGUUUUUUCUUAUAUAAUCUGGCUUAAUAAUUUGCAAAGUCUAUUACUUUGCACCCAUGCAUGCUGCGUUCCAAUUUACAAAAUUGUACGUGAGUGCAUCCAGCUAAAAUUUGUAAAAAGAAAAUAACAAUAACAUGUUAAAAAUGUGAUUAUUAUGAAGAAAUUUUAAUUUAGUUAAAUAGGUGACGAUGGAUAGGUAUAAAAUCUGAGAUCUUUUAUAAGAUUAAUAAAUAUGUUGAGUUUGGAUUAGUUCAAUUUUAAAAUAAUAAUAUUCAAAAUAUCUCUUAAAUCAUUAUAAACCUCAAAUCUAUUUUAAUUUUAUUUAAAAGAUAAAAGAAAAAUAGGUUAUGUUGGUGAUUUUUUAUUAUCUUUUUAAUAAAAAUGAAAUAAAUUGAUGUUUAUAAUUAUUUAAAGUAUUUUAAAGACUGUCAUUUUAUGAGAGAAAAAUAUUUCACUUUUUUUUAGUGUGAAAGACCGAAAAAGGACAAAGCAAGUUUCCCUAGUUUUUAUUUAUUUGAAAUUGGUCAUCUCAUAUACUUCACCCUUCAACACUAUAAUUUUUUUGGUUAUAAUUUUAUUAUUUUUUCUCUUUUACACAUGCAUGUGAAUUACUUUUCUUUAAGCUCCUGAAUAUUUAAGACAAAUCAUGGAAGAGAUGAGAGUAUAACAAGAUGAUCAAAAUAUGUAACAAAAAAAUUUUAUAAGUGAAAAAUAUGUUAGAGACUUACAGUGGAAGUAAAACUCUGAGGUGAUGUUUGAUUUGAAGAAAAUGGAGGAAAUGAAAAGACUGGAAUGUAGAGGAAAAGAGAGAAAAGGAGAGGAGAGGAGAGUGAAAUUUUUUUCUAAUGUUUGGUUUGUCACAUAAUUAUACAAAGAAAGGAAAUCUCUAAUUUUUUAUUUAGACAAUUUUAACCUUAAUAAGUAUUAAGUUUUCAAUAUUUAUCAUGUGUAUAAUUAAAAAAAAAAAAGUAAAUGGUAGAAAGCGGUUUCUGAUUCCGGCCACAUCGCCCGCAAUGGAAGGUACUUAUCAGAACAUCAAGAGCCAGCCAUCAUUCCCUAGCCAUCACUGCUGUCUGAACACUGCCGGAAAGCUGCCGAUUGAACCGCGAAAAGUCGUGGAAAUCGCUGCCUCAAAUCGGUGAGUUUCGCCCUUUUCUGGUCACGCCGUCGCCAUGGCUUUGUCCAUCAAGCCUGCCACUUCCAUUUUCAACCAUCCAUAGCCACUAUUAAUUGCCAAAUCACCGCCGAUCAGCGGGAUCUGUGGAAGUUAAAAAGUUUCUAAAUUUUUUUAACUGGAUUUGAACAACAUACGACCAUUUUUUUAUCUCGAUAACGACGUAGUAAUGUUGAUCGUUGGUCGGCAAGUCGAAUGGUAGUGGCAGUGAGUAACACGCGCCAAUCACAUCGGCGGCGGCAGCGGCACUAUCCGGCGACUGUUAAAAUUAAUAUUUUAUAUUUUCAGAUUAAAUAAAUUUAUUUUAUUAAACUUUUUAAAUCAUUAUUUAAAUUUAAUUAAUUUAAAAUUAUCUAUAAUGUUGAAUUGAUAAAAUAAAUUUAUAAAUAAUAAUUAUGUGAUUACAUUAAAUAAGUUAAAAAGUUGAAGGGUUAGUUUUGGAAGAUUUAGUUUCCAACGCAAAGGGAAUUUGAAUUCUUCACUUCUUAGUGUGGAAUUCAAAUUCUAUAUUGUAAUGGAUAUUAAAUUUCAAUAGAAAUUAAAUUCUUAUAAGUUAUGUCAAACCAAACAACGAAAAUAAAAAAGAAAUUUAAAUUAUUUUCCUUUCCUCCACCCUCUCCUUCCAACUAAAUACAUCAUGAAAAUAGAGAUAUUGAUUAAUUUAGAAGAGAUGUAAGCAAAAAAUAUUCAAAAAAAAAAAGCAAUAUGUCCCUUUGGAGGGCAAACUUGUCAGUUUCAAAAAAGUACAUGCUUUGGAUUGAUAGUUGUAGGAUAUUUGUUUUGUCACUAUGUAUUAGUUGGAGAAGUCCAGCCUUGUGGAGAAUGUUAUGAAAGAGCAAAGGAUAUUCCUGAUAGCUGAUAGAGCUCUAUCUGAUUAUGUAUCCAGUGAAUGGAUGUGUUGUUGGAAGAUAUCUGAGUGCAUUAGUUCAUAUGUGUCUGUCAAUGUGCUUUUAAUGAUUUUUCCACCUGUUUGUUGUAAAAGAUUAUUGUAAAUUGAAAUGAACUUGAUGUUUUAAUAUUUUCUUCCGUAAAUUGAAAUGAACUUGAAUUAAAUCUCGUUGAAUUUAAUAUUAUCUCCUUAGUGGAAUUUCACCUAGUAUGUAUUCAGUUGUGUUGUCUAUAAUUUUGCAUUCGAGUAAGUUUCACCUAAAACAUUAGCAUGAGUAGUGGCCCUUGAACCUUUGGUCAAAAUUAUUGUUAUUAUUUCUGACUAGAUGUAAAUUUUGUAUUAAAUCUCGUUAACACAAUUCUUAAUUAAAAGUAUAGGUUAGUGUUGGUGCAAGAUUUGCCACACCAAAUUCUGCCUAGCUGUCAAAAGUGCAAAAUAAAUGAAGAGAAAGCACAAAUACACGACUUGAAUAAGGAUACAACGAAACUUAAAUUCAAGAGAAAAUGAUAGCUAUAUCCCAAGAUUUGAAAAAGUGGUCAUGUAGAUUUUUAAGAUUUCAAUAAGCGACUGAGAUUCAAAUAAUAUCCUUUAAUUCUAUUAACAAAAAACAAAGACUCAAAUAUUUUAUGAUAAAUAAAAAUAUAAUAUUAAAAUAUAUGUGAUAAUAUACACAUUUUAAAUACUUUCAAUCCAAAAAAAUAGUUAUGUUUUACAAUCUAUUAGACAUAUUUUAUUAAAUUAAUAUAAAUUUUCUAUAAAAUAAGAAUAUAAUAUUAAAACAAAUUCACAGAAAUUUAAAGAAUUUUGAAUGUAAAAUAAUUUUAAUAUAUUAAUACGUGAGUUUUUUUAUUAAUAUAAAAAUUAUUUAACUUUAAGAUUUUUUAAAAUCUUUACAAUAAGUAUAAAUAUAUUAUUUACAUUUAAAAAUAUUUAAAUAUUAUUAACCUACAAUUAUAUUUGCAUUUGUUAGAAAUUUUUAAAGUCAAAUAUUUUGCACUUCUAUAUUAUUAGAAUUAUUGCACACAAAGAAAGAAACAUAUACGUUUAGAAAUUGUUUUCUUUUAAAAUAGAGAUGAUGAUUAGUAUAAGGAUGAAAAAAAGGAUAAAGAAUAUUAAUGAUUAACGAAAACUCUAUACAAAUUGAUUUUAGUAGGAAAAGAGUGAGAUGAAUGAUUUCUUUUACAGUUAGAAACAUAGAUGAUGAUUAUUAUAACGAAGAAGAAAAGAUAAAGAAUAUUAAUUAUUAAUGGAAUCUCUAUGCAAAUUGAUUUCAGUAGGAAAAAAAAUGAGUUAAAUGAUUUAGAGUGCGUUUGGAAUUGAGAUUGGACAGGCAUAGAUUUUAAGUUACAACACUGAAGUGUUUGGUAAAUACUUUCAGUGUUUGGUAAAUACUAGCUGCUGCAGAUUGAAAGUUAUGUUGAUAUGAUUUUUCACAUGUAUCAUAGAAAAUAUAUUACAUCUUUAAUAAUUUUUUUAAAAUUUGUAUUUGCUAUAUAUUGUUUUUUUUAUAUAGUUAUAACUUUUUUUUUUCCACAGCAGCUGUAGCUUAAAAGCUACAGCACCUCAAUCUCAAACAAGUCCUUAGACAUUCAUAGUGUGUUUAUUUUUUGGAUUGGUGAAUCAAAAUUAUUGACAACGCUAACUUCAUCUUCACCGUUCGCAAUCCAACAGCAGCAAUUGUCGCCAAUAAUGAUAUCGCCGAUGAUGAUGACAAUAAUAAUAAUAAUAAUAAUAAUAAUAAUAAUAAUAAUAAUAAUAAUUAUUAUUAUUAUUAUUAUUAUUAUUAUUAUUAAUUAAUUAAUUAAUUAAUAUAUUAAUAUAUUAAUGUUAAUAUUAUUAUUAUUAACAUUAACAAUAAUUAUUAGUAAUACAAUUUUUUGAAUAAAAAUAAUCACAAUAAUUAAAAUACAAAUUAACAAUUAUGACAAUAGUUAAUUAAUGUCUUUUUAGUAAUUUGUAAUAAUCUAACUCAUUUUAAUUCUGAUUAUUACAGCUUAAGUAAAUAAAUUAUUAUGAUUCCUAUUCUCCUUUUCUAUUUUAACUCACUUCGAUUCCAGUCUAUUCUGAUUUUUGUUUAAUAAACGCACCAUUAGUGCUAAAGUAAUAUUUCAUACAUAGAAAAGUAAAAACUACACCUAAGGUUAAGGGAAAGGACUUCAAAACUCUCUUUUGAUCAUAAUACAUUUUGUACUAAUUAACUUAAAGAUUUUGAAUCUAAUAUUUUAUAAUAAAUAAAAAUAUAUUCCUAAAAUAAAUAUAAUAUCAAUAUUUAAAAUAUGUUUUAAUAUUUUACACAUUUUAUUAUAUUAAAGUAGAUUUUAUAAUAAAUACAAACGUCCUAUUAAAAUGAAUAUAUAAAAAAUUUAGAAAAUUUAGAAUAUUAUAUAAAAUAAUUUUAAUAUAAUGCGUGAGAUAUAUUUUAUUAAUUUAAAAUGUUAUUUUACCUAAAAAAUAUGAUAAAUUAAUAAUUACAUAUUUGAAGUUAUUUCAAAUAUUAAAAAAAUUUAAUAUUAUUAGUCUUUUAGAUAGAUUAAAUUAUUUUUUUUAUAAGAGAUAGAUUAAAUUAUUUUAAAAUGCCUUAAUUAUUUUUACUUUUAACGUUACCGGCCUUUCUUUUAUUUUAUUGCAAAUUAAUGCUAACAAGAAAAAGCUAGAUCAUAUUCCACAAAAGCAAAAGUGACAAACACAACCAGCUGGAAUCUUUUAUAAAACUACAAAUUAAAAUGGAUUUUUUUUUUUGAUAAAUUACACAUGAAAGUGGAUUCUUUUGAAUAUAAGUGGGGUAGGCUCUUUUAUUUUAUUUUUGAAUAUUGUAUAACGGGACUGUAGACUCUUUUAUUAAACUACAAAUUGUAUAGUCUUUUUAAAAUUGUUAUAAAUUAAUGGCCCCCACAAUCCUCAACAAUUGUACCGAUAUUCACAAGUUGGUGGCCCCUACAAUUCUGUUCCGAUAAUUUAACUGUGCAAGUGCUCAUUCACAAUCUUCCAGGUCAUGCUCUCAAUAAUUGUUUUUUUUUUCCUGCAUUCCCUUUGGGAAAUUUACGAAAAUAAUCAUUAAUAUUUUAUUAUUUUUACAAUUAACCGUCUUAAUUUUUUUCUAUCAACAUUAGCCAAACACAAGCCUUUCUUUCCAAAUUACCCUUCUUUACAGAACAAAACCAACAUUGUUUCUCCCAUAUCGCCAAACCAAAAGCAGCUUUUUAUUCUUAAAUCAUCAGCCAACGGCGACCGCAAAAGACAACGGUAAAAGUGAUAUUCGAUCAUAAUCUAUCUGGAUCCAACACAAAUCUACAUCACUCAGUGGUAUGAAUUAUUUUUUGAACUUACUGAACUCAGUCGGGUGAAUCUGAGUCUGGCGACAGGCUGCCUGUCGCAGUAAAACUUGGUGCGACAGGCAACCUGUCGUACCAAACCUUGGUGCGACAUGCACCCUUGGAGAUUUAUUAAAAAUGUAUUAUUUUAAAUUUUAAUAGGACUCAAAUAAUUUUUUUUUUAUAAUUUCAGGCUUAAUGGAUUCAGUUGUACUUGAAUUGUGUUACGAUGGUUGGUGGGAGACAUUAGAGAAUGGCUGUAUGGAGUACGUGAAUGGUAAAAAUCGAGCUUUUUUGGUUGGAAAAAAUUACUUGUUUGAUCAGUUAUUGGCAAGAGUAUACGAGGUGUUAAAAAUAAACCCUAAUGACUAUAGUAUCACAAUGAAGACAACUUUGAGGUCUAGUAACACAUUAUAUCGUAUAUGUGCAAUGCCCAUGGAUAUAUGUGAUGAUGAAAUGGUGAGGGUUGUGUUGCAUAUGGCAUCUGACGUAGCUAAUUUUGGAUGCAUUCCUAUAUUCGUGACCACAUCACCUCGACUUCCGAGCGAAGGUAUUGAGCCACAUGUCGAUAUAGAAACUUCGUUUAGAGCAAAUAUGUCUGGCCCCGAUAAUGAUGAAGAGGUGUUGCCAAGGACAAUAUCGCUGCAGCAAUAUUACUCUCCAAUCCACGACAAUUAUGAUAACAUUGAUGAUAAUAGCGUUACGUUACAUGAUGUUGGAGCAACGGUAUUUCCAAUAACAACGUCGUUGGAGCAACGGUAUUCUCCGUAUCACAACAAUGAUUUUCGGGACAAUGAUGAUUUUCAUAAUGAGACAGAGGAGGAUAAUGUUUGUGCAGAACCUUCUAAUAAUACGAGGCGGGGCACUCGUUUCAAUAAUGAUGGUGAUGAUGGAGGAGUUGGUCAUUCGAAUGUUCCGUCGUUUCAGCAUGAGGAUGAGUGUGAAGACAAUACUCCUGUGAAUAACAGAGGCAAUAGACCUAUUCCUUCUAUGGUUCGAUCGAGAAGGAGAAUUGACCCCCUUACAAGUCUUGCUCCAACUUUACCUUCGAACAUGGUUGCUCCAAGCUUUGUUAGCAGUUGUGACUCAGAUGAUAUCAGCGUGGGUAAGCUAUUUGCUGAGAAGAAUGAGCUUAUAUUACAACUACGCAAGGUGGCCUUUAGAGAUAAGUUUGAUUUCAAGAUUGCACGGUCUACUACGACACGUUUCGAGGCUCACUGUUGUUCAGAAUCAUGUAAAUGGCGUAUUCGAGCAACUAGAAGUUCGAACGAGCAAAAUGUUCCUUGGGUGGUGAAGAGAAUUGAUAAUGUACACACUUGUCAUAAUGAGGUAUUGGUUGAUGGACGUCAUCAAGUAAGGAGCCGGGUUGUCGGUCAUAUUAUCGCAGAAAAAUAUAUUCAAGAUAAGAGGAUUUAUACUCCCAAUGACAUAAGAGCAGAUAUGCAACAGGAAUACGGUGUUCAGUUAACAUACCAGCAUGCAUAUAGGGCGAGAGAAGUUGGUCUUGAAAUAGUUCACGGCAACCCUGCAGAGUCAUACAACUUGCUCCCUAAAUACUCUCACGUACUAACUACAACGAAUGAGGGUACAGUCACUCACCUCGAGCAGGAUGGAGAUGGUAAUUUCUUGUACUAUUUUGUAGCACUCGGAUAUUUCAUCAAGGGGUUUAUGCAGUACAUUCGGCCUGUCAUUGCUGUAGAUGGUACUCAUCUAAAGGGAUUAUAUCGUGGAAGCAUGUUCGUGGCAACAUGUCUUGAUGGUAACAAUCAAUUGUAUCCGUUAGCCAUUGGGAUCAUGGAUUCAGAAAAUAAUGAUGCUUGGGAAUGGUUUAUGAUGAAGUUACACGGAGUGAUUGGUGAUAGACCUGAGUUGGUAAUUAUCUCUGAUCGAUGCACUGCCAUAAGGAGAGCCGUUCUUGAAGUAUUUCACAAUGCAACUCAUGGCGUUUGUUUUUACCACGUCAAAGGUAACAUUAAGUCACAAUUUAGAAUGUCCAAAGCUCUUUGGGAUGAAUUUGAGCAUGCCUUUAUUAAUGCAGCAAAAGCAUAUGACCAUGAGGAAUUUAAGAGACAACUUGAAGGGUUGUGGAUGAUCCACUUGGGUGCGGCUGAUUACCUAGAAAAUAAUGUCGGCACGUGUAAUUGGGCAAGGUCUCAGUUUCAAGGUAGGAGGUACAACAUUCUUACCACCAACAUCGCGGAGAGUGUUAAUGCUUUCAUGAGGGAACCUCGAAAAUUUCCUGUUACUCAUCUUGUUGAUCACUUCAGGAAAACAUUAUAGCAAUUGUUUUAUGAUAGAAAAAUUGUGGCUGAAUCAAUGACUACUCGGCUAACAACAUGGGCGGAUGAAAUAGUCACUGAGAGGAGAACUAUAGCUGAAAGAAUGAUAGUUCGGCCGGUGUCUCCACAUCGCUUUCAAGUUAUAGGCGGUGGGCUUAAGGAAGGGUUGGUUGACUUGCAAAAGAGAACUUGCUCCUGCAGAGUGUUUCAGCUUGAUCAGCUUGUGUGUGCUCAUGCAAUUGCGGCGUGUCUAACACACCGGGUGGAUUUUAUUAACCUUUGCUCGGACUUUUACACUACAGAAUCGUUGGCGAUGGCUUAUGCACAACCAGUGGAGCCAGUUGGUGAUGUGGCUGAUUGGGAAGUUCCAGAUGAAAUUCAGGAGAUGCAGGUAUACCCACCAGUUGAGGCACCACCACCUGGCCGUCGUAAAGAGCUCAGAAUACCCUCGGCUGGCGAGGACGUUGACCGGCGGACUGUAAGAUGCGGCCGGUGUCAUGAACUAGGCCAUAAUCGUAAGCGAUGUAAGAAUCCUAUUGCGUCGACUCGAAGUUAGUUGUAUUUUGUGUGUUAUUCGUUGGUUAAAACUAUUAUUGUUUUUGUGUUACAUUGGUUAAAACUGUUAUUGUUUUUUGUAUUUCGUUGGUUAAAACUGUUAUUGUUUUUUGUGUAUUGUACACUUAUAUUCAUAAAACUUUAUUUUAUUUUAAAGUUCAAAAUGUGAGGCAUUAAAAUUAUAUAAACUUAAGUGCGGAAAUUAAAAAAAAUGCAAAUUUCAACAUUGAAAUUACUACAUAGGUCUACAAUAUAAUAUCGUCAUUAAAUAUAUCAACCGCAAUCUUCUUUCUAAAGUACUCGACAUGACUAGCGUUAAACUCCAAUCUAAGCCUGAACAUUAAAUACAUCGUAACCAUCAAUACAAAAACACUGCAAUCGCUAGUUCCGGGCUCUUGUUGUGGUGCGCUCUUAACUGCGAUAACUUUCCACGGGUCUUCACUCCGCAACUCAGGUCGGAUAUUGUAGAAGCCAACAUAUUCAAACCAUCGAGGGAAUAUAACUUCAAGUGGCUUGAAUUUCAACUUGUACUUUUUGUCGUCGCGAAAUGUGAGUAAUGAGUCAUAAAUCCAGACUUUAUUUUUCCGAAAGUCAACUCGUGCUAGUACCCAAUGUGCGCCGUCCAAGUUAACAGGGAUGAGUAACUGCAUAUAAAAAUUAAAAAAACAUGUUCGUUAUAUAUGAAAUUGAAAUACAACAAAGAAAAAGCAACAACUCGAAUAUUUUCAUUAUAGAGCAUGUGAAAUGUAAUAAAAUACACACCAUAUCGACAUCCGUCAUUAAUUUUGACAUUGUGUGCUGUCGCCCACAAAGAUAACUAUUCAAGCGGUCGUCGAAUACCGUUGAAUCAACUGCACAAUUCCUGUUAUUCCAUAACUGAUUCAAGAACACCUAGUACAUAGAUAACCAAGAAAUGCAUAAAUUAAUAAAACUUAAAGGCAAUAAUUAAACAAAUUAAAUAGUAUUUAUAAGUUUUGUCGGCACGUUACCCAAAAAAAUGUGUCAGUAUGUGUGACACGUUGGAGUAAGGCAUUUGGAUACUGCCGUUGUUUCUCGCUAAUCAAGCGGAGAUACUCGUGAAUAUGCUGUAGAGAAACAGAAAUAUUACGAUUUAAAAAAAAAUUUAUACACAAAUCCACAACAGUAUACACCACGAGGAAAAUAUAAAUACCUUAUCGCCUAGCCAUCCCAUCGAAGCUGUCCCCAAAAUUAUUUGAAAGAAUGACCGCGGGUGCUGGACUCUCCGGCGGACUCUGCUAUCACCAGUGAACCAUCGAUCAAACUCAGCAAACAAACUAGAGUCCUCCAAUCCUCUCAGUGGAUUUACAUCCACACUCGUACUCAUGUCAAUCGCAUGCUCCAUCAUUUGGGGUCGAGGUAACCUCCGGACGUUCUGUCCACGCCUGACCGGAGGAAUCAUGUAAGGACUGUUAUAAACAUACGACGGUAUGUACGCGCGGCCGAACUUACUAACGCCCGGAGGCACCUCUGUGAACACCUGCAUGCUCUCCCCACUAACAUCCCCGUAUAAACUAUACAAUGACGUGGGCGUAGACAAAUUUUCAUUGCCCACGUCAGUAUACACUCCAUAGUCAUCCGGGGCCUGUACAUUCGCCAAAAAGAACAUAUUAAAUAAUUAUCAAAUUAAAAGUUAAACGAACAUAAUUAUUUAAUUUAAAUUAGCUUACCGCAUACGAGCGUGCAGUGGGAGAAUCCUUAUUUGGAUGUUUAGAAAAUGUGUCGAUGAAGCCAACAACGGUUUCUUUAAAAUCUUUUAAUUCUGACUUUAUUUCAUACACGUUACGAUCAAUCUUAUCCAGCCGUCGUCGUACGUAAUCAUUAAACUGCUUUGUCCUCGACUAUUACAAAAGAAAAAAAUAAAACUUUAGAAUAACAAUAAAAAAAUAAUAAUUUAUAAAGGAAAAUAUCGUAUAUUAUUUAUAACCUCAUAAUCCCGUGCGUCAUCAGAGUUGUCUGUUUGCUGCUGGUGGUCAUCAACAGCCACCUCAUCCUCAAAAGUGUCAUGACGCUGCUCUGGUAUUGGGUUUAGUAUGUCGUCAUGAUCAUCAUGCUCGUCCGAUUGUCUUGUAACCGACGGCAUCGCGUUGAUUGAGGGUUGGUGCUGUAUAAAGUAUCAUUUAAAAUUACUAAAUGAAAAGUCAAAAAUUUCGAUAAAAUUUUUUUUAGUACUUACAGUAUACCGACCUUAUGAAUCCAGUCUGGAAUGCUUGGCAAGUAAUCCUUCACAGAGAGCCAAUAUUUUCUGCUACUCUCUUUUGAAUUUGGCUCAAGAGUUUGUAAAACGUCCGUCUGCCAUAAAUUCAAUUGAAAAUUUUAAGUAAGUAUACCCAACUUAAAUUUAGUAAAGUUAAAAAAUAAGUAAUACAUAUUACUUAUAAGACGAGAUUCGUCGUUGAAGAACGAAUAAACCUCUGCAAAGUUGAUUCUCGAAGACGCCAUGGGCUUCCAUUGCAGAAUGCGGGGAAUCUUACUCUUCGUUUUGACGACCCAUGUUGAUGGCAACCCUCCGAUUGCUUCGUAAAUCCAAGCCUACAACAAACCAAAGUGAAAAAUCAAAUAAAACAACUAUCAAAUAUUUAAUACUAUAAAACUUAUUAAUAAACAAAAAAAAGCACCUGCACCCCAGACGUAAAGCCGUAAAGAUUGUAUUUUUCAAUAUUAUGAUCUGGAUUUUUCAACCGAGUCUUCUUAAAUUUCUCGUCUUUCUCGAACAGUGCAUUGUCAAGACUCUCGUAAAUCAUUUCCCACGACAAUAGACCCCAUGGCGCUUUCGGAAGUACUGUAUAUCAUCAACUUGGUCAAGCCAAUCGAAAUUAAUUUGACAGUGAUUUUUUCUUGCAUUUAGUACUUUGUCCGCAAAAUAAAACAGCGCAAUCUUUAAUGCGUCCAUAUCGUCCAUUUCCUCGAAAUUCAACUCCUUAAAUACUGCAUCAAAUUGCUUCACAUUAAUCUUACGAUGCACACCACCAAAAUACGUAUUCCGUAGCCUCUGCUCCAUUUCAUCAUUUUUUUCAUUGGUAUCAACACCAAAUGAAAGUCCAGUAACCAAGCACCAUUCGAUAAUUGACAAGCGAAUCAAAUGCUUACCAAUUUGAAACCAUAACUGAUCCUCACAGCUAUCUUCUUCAUGGGCCACUUGCCGCAGUAAACGAUUGUGCAAAAUUACCCCACUAAAUGGAAAACUUCGGCACUCCAAGAAAUGCCCAAAUAUAUCCUUUUUGAACAUACUCAACUGCCGCUUUGUUAAUUUUUCCUCGAUGGCUUUUACGACCGAAGAUAACAUACACAUGCUCGAAAUUCGACCAGGAAAGUGAUCAGCAUAACGAAAAUACAUCUUGCCUACUUCAAUAUCCGGUGAUUCUGAUUUCGCCAUGUAUCUGUAAUAUUUAUAAAAUUAUUACAUUACAUUUACAGAAAUAAAAAAUUGACUCGUUAAAAAAAAAAACUCUAAUUUUUUGGUGCGACAGGCGCCUGUCGCUCCAAAAAACUGCCUGUCGCACCACAGCUGGUGCUCCAAAAUCGAAAACAAUACUCCCAAACACCACCAACUACCACAAACAUCAUCACCACCACUAUUAAUCUCAAGCUAUAACUAUUAUUAUUCUAAAAUCUCAUUUUAAAUUAAUGAAAAUAAGAAAAAUGACUAACCUAGGUUUUGUUGAAGGUUGUAGAUCGUAGAUCGGAUGCCGGUGAGAGAUGGAGCCGCCGCCGACGAGGGUUGAUGUCGCCGCCGAUGAUGGGAGUUGGAUCGGUUUGGGAGAGAUGAGUGAAAAAGGGAGUGUUGGGGAAGAGAUGAGGGAGGGGUAUUUUGGUCUCAAAUGUUGUUUUAUGGCUAAUGUUGAUAGAAAUAUUUUUGGGGGGUUAAGAUGAAAAAAAGCAAAUUUGUUUUGGUUAUUACUGUAAAUUUCCCAUUCCCUUUCAUGCUCUUAAUAAUUGAAGAGCAUACUUUUCAUUUUCAAAUGUGGAGCCGCAUCUAAUGUCGCUAAUUUAAUUUGGGAUUAAAUUAGGGGACCAUUAUAUUGCAGUGUGUACUAAUUUUUGUGUUUAUCUAAACUCCUUAAGUUUAAGACAUAUUAUGGCAUAAAUAAGAAUAUAACAAUAACAAAAGAGAUGCCGGAGCAGAUCAGCAGGGUUUGAAUAUGACCUUUGGCGGUUGCUUUUUUUUUGUGAUUUUUUUCAUUUUUUCCUUCCUGUCAUUUUAUCAUUUAUUUGGCUCUGUUUCUAUUGCGGGUGUUACUGCAUGCUUACUGUUGCUUGACAAAGUUUGCUAGCUUUUUGUUUGCAGUGCUGCUAUUCACCCCGAGUCAAGCUCCGAAAAUUUAUUAAACAACGCCGUUUCGAUAGUAACAAUUUUUUUCUUUUCCCUUUGUCUGUCUCUUUCAUCUGCUGUUUCUCUAUCACUUUUCAUUUUUUAUUUCCUUACUUCACAGCUGCCCCUAAAUUGUUAUUCUAGCAAUAUACUUUCUCAUCUUUGAAUUUUCAUCCUUGAGUACUCCCACAGCCGUAAUUUCAUCAUUAUAGACUUCACUUGGAAUGCUGUAUUUUUUCGAUUCUUAAGCUACUUCAAUUACAUCUUCCAGUAUAGGAUCCUCAUCUUCCUUUAUUUCUUCAUCUUAUGAGGUAACAAAUGGAUUUCACAACUCAUCUACUUUUAAGCAAUUACAUAUUAUACCUUGAAUGAUUCAACUGUUCCGACAGUUAAAGAUUUUAUGCUCAACCUGCAGUGCUACGAACAUUGUCCAUGAAAGAUGAGUUUCAGCAUAUAAAAUGAAAUAUAGAUGUUUAAUCUAAAAUAACCCUUCACUGCCAAGAAACCUAGGUCACAAAAUUCACAGAUAAUGAUAAAGAGCUAAAAAAUUUGAAAAACUCUACAGAUCACACAUCAAGCAAGAUAUCAUGUUUUUUUCCCUCAUUCGGUGGUGAUUGAUUCGCUUUUUGAUGAUGGAUAUGGUAUAAAAGUUUUGACCCAAUUUCAAGCAAACACAAAUAGAAACACAAACACAAUCGGGACUAGAGUUGUGGGCGAUUAUCUCAGGUGUACAAGUGAAACGGUGGUGGCUGUCGAUGGUGGUAGUGGGGUGGUUGGGUAUGCGUGAUGGCUAGAUUUUAGGACAAUAAUGGUUGGAGUUGACCUCGAUCAACGAAGGAAAGUGACAACAAUUUUGACAUCAAACGGUGCAUUUUUUAGCUUAGUAAAAUGGAGCCGUUUCGAAUUUGGGGUUUUAUCCGGGGUUUGACUCAGCGCAAGUAUCAUUUUCCUUUUGUUUAUUAAAUUUUUUAUGGUCACAAAGUAUUACUCGUUCUAUUUGAGAGUGAUGUGAAUCAAUUUUUCAAUUUUAUAUUUUGUGGUCAAUGUGAAUUUAAUUUCAUUUGUCUCCUGCAAUUAUGAAAAAAUUGCAGUCAUAAUAUGGAAAAGUACACCGGCAAAAACUUUGUAAAAGCUUCGGAGUGAUACGGGGAAUUUACUUACUACUGAGAGGACAAUUGGUGGCAAAGCUAUUCCAUUCAUUUUAUGUACAUCCAUCUAUUUAGUUAUUGAAGAUUAGUGGUCCAUUUAUAAAUUUCAGAUCGUCUCUCUCUCUCUCCCUCUUGAAGUAACAAUAUUUAAUAUAUCUAUUAACUUAUUAUAAAUUUUAAUUUACUCUCGAUUUAAAAUGGAGCAUGUCGAUAAAUUUUUUUUCUUCUUAAUAAAAUUGACGUAAGUUGUGUUUACGGUAGUUUGAAGUUUGAAAUAUUUUAAAGAUUAUUAUUCUAUAAGGGAGUAAUAUGAACUGAAAUUUACUUUUCAUGUGUGAAAUGAAAAAGGACGAAGCAAGUGUCCCUACUUUUAUUUUAUUUCAAGGAGGAGUCAUCUCACAUACUUUAGCUCUUAACAUUACAUUUUUUCUGGUUACAUUUUUAUUUAUUAUUUUUUUUAACACAUGCGUGUGGGGUGCUUUUCUGUAAGCUCCUUAAUAUAUAUUUAAGACAAAUCAUGGAAGAGAUGGGAUUAUAUCAAGAUGAUCAAAGCAUGUAAAGAAGAAAAAAGAAAAAAAAAUUAAGAAGUAAGACACUGAAAAUGGAGAAGAGAUGGAAGCAAAAGAUAUUCCAAAACAAAGCAAUCUAUCCCCUUUCGAGGGUAGACUUAUCAAGUUUAAAAAAGUACAUGCUUUGGAUUGGUAGUUGCAAUCAAGGGAAAAUAAAUAGGAUCCAAUGAAAUUUAAAUCUCGGAGAAAAUAAAUAAUCAUGCAGAUUUUCAAGAUUUUAAUAAGGGAUACUAAUAUCUUAUUUUGAUUAAUAACAUUCUUUCACUGUGUUAACUCAAAAAAAAUAUUAUAAUGCUUUACAAUAAAUACAAAUGUCCUAUUAAAUGAAUAUAUAAAAAAUUUAGAAUAUUUAGAAUAUUAUAUAAAAUAAUUUUAAUAUAAUGCGUGAGAUAUAUUUUAUUAAUUUAAAAUGUCAUUUUACCUAAAAAAUAUGAUAAAUUAAUAAUUACAUAUUUGAAGUUAUUUCAAAUAUUAAAAAAUUUUAAUAUUAUUAGUCUUUUAGAUAGAUUAAAUUAUUUUUUUAUAAGAAAGAGAUUAAAUUAUUUUAAAAUGCCUUAAUUGUUUUUACUUUUAAUGUUACCGGCCUUUCUUUUAUUUUAUUACAAAUUAAUGCUAACAAGAAAAAGCUAGAGCAUAUUCCACCAAAGCAAAAGUGACAAACACAACCAUUGUAUAACGGGACUGUAGACUCUUUUAUUAAACUACAAAUUGUAUAGUCUUUUUCAAAUUGUUAUAAAUUAGUGGCCCCUACAAUCCUCAACAAUUGUACCGAUAUUCACAAGUUGGUGGGCCCUACAAUUCUGUUCCGAUAAUUUAACUGUGCAAGUGCUCAUUCACAAUCUUCCAGGUCAUGCUCUCAAUAAUUGUUUUUUUUUUUUCUGCAUUCCCUUUCAUGCUCUUAAUAAUUGAAGAGCAUACUUUUCAUUUUCAAAUGUGGAGCCGCAGCUAAUGUCGCUAAUUUAAUUUAGGAUUAAAUUAGGGGACCAUUAUAUUACAGUGUUCACUCAUUUUUGUGUUUAUCUAAACUCCUUAAGUUUAAGACAUAUUAUGGCAUAAAUAAGAAUAUAACAAUAACAAAAGAGUUAGAAAGUGUAGAGAAGAUCUUGCAGAAAUAUAAAUAAUAUCAAUAUUUAAAAUAAUUUUUAAUAUUUUAUGAUCCAUUAGAUAUAUUUUAUUAUAUUAAAAUAAAUUUUAUAAUAAAUGAAAACAUCCAAUUAAAAUGAAUAUAUAGAAAAUUUAGAGUAUUUUAAGUAUUAUAUAAAAUAAUUUUAAUAAAAUAUGUGAGAUAUUCAUAGUUUAUUAAUUUAAAAUACCAUUUUAAAAUUAAAGAUUUAUUUAUGAUAAAUUAAUAAUUAUAUUUUUGAAAUUACUUCAAAUAUUAAAAAAUUAAUAUUACUAAUCUAUUAGAUAGAUUAAAUUAUAUAUAUUAUUUUCUAUUUAUUAAAAAAUUAAAAUUAUUUUUAAUUACUAUUCAAAAAAUAUAAUGAUAAAAAAAAUCUUAACAUCUUUAUUAAAAAUUUAAAAAUUUACCUGAUCAAUUCUCUAAAUAUUUAGGGUAUAUGUGAACCACGGUGGAGAAGCUUUAUUUAAUAUUAUUGAUUUAAAUAAUAUGUCAAUUAAAAAUAUACAGAGAAGGAAAUUUCGGUAGGUAUUUUAAUCUUUUCAGCAAUUAUCAUGAUCAGAUCAGCCUUUAGCCUUAAAACGUCGGUCAGAAAAGUUUUUAAAUUAACGCAAACAAGAAAAAGCUAGGUCAUAUUAAAAGUGGAUUCUUUUGAAUGCAAGUGGGACAGACGAUUAGGCUCUUUUUAUUAAACGCAAGUAAAAAGUAGUCGAAUAGUCUUUUUCAAAUUAUUGUUUUAUUAUUUUAUUAUUUUUCCUUCAAAAGUUAGCGUGGCUCAUGUUUGCAGGUGCGAAUGUGCCAUGCUCUUUUUUUAAAGGCAAUUACAGUGGGUCCCGAAUCAUUACUAAAAUUUCUCUUCCACAGCCCACCGCAGCUUCAGUUAAUCAAACUCAAUCAAUUUUCUUUCUUAACAAAAUUCUAAAGAUGUGUAGCAUUUUUCAGAUCACAUGCGAUGGUGCUUUUUUCAAUCGUUGCUUGGAUUGCUUUCUUGGAAAAGCAGCAUACAUACGUAACCUCCAAGAUAAUCUUGAUGCCUUGGAGACUGAAUUGGGAAAUCUGAUCGCUAGAAAGAACGAUGUGAUGAGGAGGGUUGUCGAUGCUGAACGGCAACAAAUGAGAAGGCUGGACGGAGUGCAAGUGUGGGUUUCGAGGGUGGAUUCUGUUAAAACUGAAGCUGAUCAAUUUAUAAGAGACGGCUCUCGAGAAAUUGAAAAAUUAUGUGUUGGAGGCUACUGUUCCAAGAAUUGCAUGUCAAGCUACAAGUUCGGGAAAAAAGUGGCUAAAAAGCUACGGGAUGUGCGGACUUUAAUCAGUGAAGGAGUUUUUGAGGUGGUGGCUGACAGAGCUCCAGAGUCUGUAGCAGAUGAAAGACCUACUGAGCGAACAGUAGUAGGCUUGCAAUCACAACUUGAACAAGUCUGGAGAUGUCUUGUAGAAGAAUCAGCGGGAAUCAUUGGCCUAUAUGGUAUGGGCGGUGUUGGUAAAACUACACUACUGACCCAUAUCAACAAUAAAUUUCUCGAGAGUCCAACCAACUUUGAUUGUGUGAUUUGGGUUGUAGUUUCAAAAGACCUGCGACUCGAAAAAAUUCAAGAAGAUAUUGGGAAAAAGAUAGGUUUGGUUGGUGACUCAUGGAAGAGUAAAAGUGUAGAGGAGAAAGCUGUCGACAUCUUCCGGAGUUUAAGAGAGAAGAGAUUUGUAUUGUUGUUAGAUGAUAUAUGGGAGCGGGUUGAUUUAACAAAGGUGGGCAUUCCACUUCCCGGACCAAAAAAUACUACCUCAAAAGUCGUAUUCACAACCCGUUUCAUCGAUGUUUGUGGUAGCAUGGAAGUUGACAGGAAGUUUCAAGUAGCAUGCUUAUCAGAAAAGGAUGCUUGGGAACUGUUUCGAGAAAAAGUUGGGGAAGAAACUCUUCAGAGUCAUCAUGAUAUCGAUGAGCAAGCCCAAAUUGUGGUCAAAGAGUGUGGUGGUUUGCCACUCGCACUUAUUACUAUUGGUCGAGCUAUGGCCUACAGAAAGAAAGCGGAGCAGUGGAGACGUGCAAUUGAAGAGUUAAGGAGAUCAGUUUCAGAGUUUGCAGGUUUGGGAAAAGAGGUGUAUCCUCUUUUAAAAUUCAGCUAUGAUAGUUUGCAGAAUGAUACGGUUAGAUCUUGUUUCUUGUACUGUUGUUUAUAUCCUGAAGAUUAUGGCAUUCUUAAAUGGGACUUGAUUGAUUGUUGGUUUGGCGAGGGAUUUUUUGGGGAAUCUGACAGGUCUGGUGUAGAAAACCAAGGAAAUGACAUUUUGGACACUCUUGUUCGUGCAUGUUUAUUAGAAGAGGUGGAAGAUGAUGAAGUAAAAAUGCAUGACGUUAUUCGUGAUAUGGCUAUAUGGAUAACUUGUGAAAUUGAGAAGGAGAAGCGAAACUUUUUGGUUCGUGCAGGUGCUGGAUUAAAAGAGGCACCGGGUGUUAAAGGAUGGGAAAAUGUGAGAAGAUUGUCAUUGAUGCAAAACCAAAUUGAAACUCUGUCAGAGGUUCCCACAUGCCCUCAUCUCCUCACUUUAUUUCUUGACUUUAAUCAGGAGUUGGAGAUAAUCGCGGAUGGCUUCUUCCAACUUAUGCCUUCUCUCAAAGUUUUGAAGAUGUCAAACUGUUCGAAUUUGAAAUUACCUGUUGGGAUGUCAGAGUUGGGUUCAUCACUAGAACUUCUCGAUAUUUCAGAAAACAGCAUAACAGAGUUACCGGAAGAGUUAAAGAAGUUGGUAAAUCUGAAAUGUUUGAAUUUGAGGUGGACACAGCAUUUAAAUAAAAUUCCACGGCAACUAAUAUCAAAUUCUUCAAGGUUACGUGUGUUGAGAAUGUUCGCUACUGGCCGGUUCAAUUUUCAUGAAGCACCAGAAGACAGCGUUUUAUUUGGUGGGGGUGAAGUUUUGAUACAGGAAUUGCUCGGUUUGAAAUAUUUAGAGGUAUUGGAGUUGACCUUGGGAAGUUAUCAUGCUCUCCAAAUUCUUUUGAGCUCAAAUAAGUUAAAAAGUUGUAUUCGAUCUCUUUACCUCCAGUUGACCGGAGAUACAGCGUCAAUUAUUGAUGCUACGGCUUUCGCAGAUCUAAACUACCUCAAUGAAUUAUGUAUUGAUAAUGGUAUUGAGUUGGAAGAGUUGAAGAUUGAUUAUACGGAGAUAGUAAGAAAAAGGCGGGAACCUUUUGUUUUCCGCAGCCUUCACUGUGUUACUAUGAUUUCGUGCCGUAAAUUGAAAGAUUUGACAUUCCUCGUUUUUGCUUCAAACCUCAAGUCUCUUCGGCUACGCAAUUGCUAUGCUAUGGAAGAAAUAAUCAGCGUCGGAAAAUUUGCUGAGACUCCUGAGAUGAUGGGACAUAUAAGCCCUUUUGAAAAUCUCCAAAUGCUUGAUUUACAAGGUUUGCCACAUUUGAAGAGCAUCUUCUGGAAGCCAUUGCCUUUCACUCAUCUGAAAGAAAUGGAGGUACUUAGGUGCGAUCGGCUUGAAAAGCUUCCACUCGAUUCCAACAGUGCAAAGGAGCGUAAAUUUGUUAUUCGUGGAGAAGAAGACUGGUGGAACCGACUUCAAUGGGAGGAUGAAGCCACUCAAAUUGCAUUUCGUUCCUGUUUUAAAAGUGAUGCUUUAUUUAUAUCUUAUUCGUGAAAAGUGAUUUAAUUUCCUGCCAAAAGACGAACGAGAAGAACAUUAGAGUCAAACUAAUGCUCACAUAAAUUUCCCGUAAGAAUAUAUAAUUAGACUGGAAUGCACACCUCUAGAUUGAACAGAAUUAAAGCUGAGAAAAUAUUGAGUAUAGUAGCCCUCUUUACAGAAAAUGACGCGAAAGUUAAUUUAGAAAGAUAUAUUCUUGAUUAAUCCAUUUUCUGAAGUUUUUAUUUUGUAUGGUCAAUUAUACCUUCAUACUAAAAAUUUCUGAAGUUAUAAAUUAGUGCAACUUGACAAUUUUUACUGAUGAUAUCUUCUAUUUUUUUUUUUUUUUUUUUCACUUUCAUAGACUGGCAGCGGAUCCUGCGGCACCAAUUUGAGAGAAUAUACUGACACUACUUCGAACAGCAAGCAGAAGAAGUAAUAUGUCUACGGCAAAGGCAAUGCAGUCCUCAUUUUGGCUUGAGAUGCAGUAAUCAUCGAAGAGAGUUUCCUUGUGAAACUGGGCAACACAUUGAAUCCCUUCGCCACUGAGAAGGUUGUGGAGGAAGUAAGCUUUCUCUCCAGUGAGGAAGAGGUGGCAUACCUUCCCCAUUUUAUCGAGGGCAGGUAGGAAUCUUUUUUCUAAGAGAUUUACUUCGUUCUCUGUAAGAAAUGCUUUGAACUUCAUCCCUCUGUCUCUAUCCUCACUUAUCAGGAAAUAAGUUGAAAGCACUAUGAAGAGAGAGAGAGAGAGAAUUAAGAUAUAUAGACAAGAAAAAUAUUAGACCUUGAUCUUACAAACUAAUACUUCAAGCAGUAUCCUAGAAAGCUAAAAACUGCAAGAUGGCUUGAAAUUUGAAAAGAGCACGUGCUUUUCCUCCUUAACUUGAGAAAAUGUUUAAUAUAGUGCACCUUACAGAAGCAUUUAAGCAAUUAGAACUUUGCACAAAAACAUCAAGAAGACUAAACAAAUCAGAUGCAGUGUAUUUGUCCAAGCACAAAUUGCAUUUUGUCCUCAACUUUAAUAUUUAUUGAUGAGAAUCAAUACAGGUCCCUCAUUUGUUAUAGAAAGCUUUCUUGUAGUCUCACCAGUUAAUUCACAGGUCUAUAAUCAUCUUGCAAAGUUAAGGGCAUUUCUUUCGAUCUAAAGUCUUUGGAUCACCACCUCAUCACACACCAAGCCAAUAUUCCAUUUACCUCUACAACAAAAAGUUUUUAAGUAAACAAUCCUAAUGCACGCAGCCAAAUAAAAUGCAGUAAGAAUAUUCAACUUAAAAAUCUGAAAGCCAACUUGGUGAAUUGCCUCCUUAGGUGAAGUUCCAUGCUUUACUAUAGUUGACAGAACUCAGCAAAAGCUUCCAUACAACAGAUUUUGAAAAUGAUGAUGCCAAUAGAUACUCAUUCAAUCCAUUGAAAAUCCAAAGGUUCAUUGUUAAUAGAAGUUUACAGAGUUUUGGUCAUCAAAUAGCUCAGACCUAAUCCCAAACAAAAAACGAGUGAAAAUUAGAUCACGAGCAGCUAAUUGUAAAUUCUAACUUAACUCUUCAUCUCCUUUGUAAACAAGAAACAAAAUGGAGACAAGCAAAAUGAAUAUGGAGAAAAUUUGAACUCAAAUGAAAUGAGGGCACGAAAGCAAACAAAUGGCAUGCACAAAAAAACCAAGCCUCAAUCAAAAACUAAUUAACCAUUAAGAAAAAAAUUGGUCAGAGAAUGAACUCCAAAUUCAGGAGUCAAGCAAGAAGCUUUCAUUAUUUCAGAAGCUCCUGUACAGGAUUCUAUCACACAUAGGAAUUGUAUAACAAGAGAUCGAUAUAUCGAAUUAGAAAACUCAAUUCGAAUUUGUGUCAAAAAUCAAAAUUAGAAGAUUUCACAUUUCGAGAGGAACAAGCAACAGAUGAAGUUGAAAAUUUUCAGCCAUAACAUGCUAAAAAUGCUACACUGAACGGUUCAUUUUCAUGGGUUUUCUCGGGAAACAAACAGAAAAUUACGGUUUAGAGAGUUGACUGACCUUUUGGCUUUUGAAAUUGAGAAGAUCGCACGCCAAAUUGGAAGAGGGAAAGUGAAAGUGCGAGUUUUAAUAUGGGUAUUAGAUAAGGAAAUUUUAUUAGGUUGCGAGGGUAAAAAAGGAAAGAGAUAUCAUUGUUUUAUUAUCGAUAAUUAUUAAAAAAAUUUCCCCAAAAAAAGAACAAGCAAGGAUAUUUUAUUGUCAUUUGCAACCUUUAAUUUUUUAAAUGCUAUUAGAAACACAAGACAACAAAGAAAUACUUAUUUUUUUUCUAAAACUAAAAUUAAUUGUUUAACUUCUUAUUUCAGAAUCCAACUCCAUUACUAAGUUAAAAAAAUUGUUUCAAAAUUACUUGAGUCAUAUCUAAUGGACCAACAAAGUAAUCGUUUUUAUUUUUAUUGAUUUUUGCAGAAAAUUAAUAACUUAAAAAUACUGAAAGCUAUUGAAAAAAAUUUUUAUUAUCAACCUCAUAGUUUUUUUUUUUUGGGAAGAGAAUUCAAACUUUUUUUUUAUGAAUAUCGCUGUUUCGUUUGAGUUGGAUGUGAAUUCAAAUACAAAUAUUCUUUGUUUUUCAAUUUUGAACUCAAUUUCUUUUUCUCAAGAAUGUUAUGCAGAAAUGAUUUUUACUAAAUCAUUUUUGAUGAAUUGUUUAAAUUAAACAAUUGGAUUAAGAAUUGUAACGAUUUAUCAUAAGCGUGCUAAUAUGAUAACUUGUUUUACGAAGGAUUAAUUAAUCAAUUAAUAUUAAAUUAUAUAUUAGUCAAUUAGAUAUGUGUUACAUUUGUCAUGUUUUGUAGGUGAUACUACAUAAUUUCUAAAAGAAUAUAGUAAAAAAACGUUAAAAUGUUAUUUUAAUGAAGAAAAUUUUAUAAUUUUAUUAAAUAGGUGACACAAUAAUAAAUGGAUUUCUGUAAGAAUUGAGAUUCUUGAGAUAAUUAUUACAUAAGGAGAAGUUUAUUACAUAGGUGACAGCUAUGAUUUUGAAACUUUUGCCUAAAAUUGUUAUCAUUACUUCUUGUUUCUUAUUUAAAGAGAAAUUCUAGAAACAUGAAAUGAUUAUUCUACGCUUGUUUUAAUAUUAUACUAUGAAGAUUAUGAAGGUUUGAUUAAUGUCACUAUCAAUUGCCUUAAUCGUUUGUCGUAAAUCAAUUAAGCAUUUUGAUGCGAAUGAUUCCCUAUUAAAAAAUUCAAGUCAGAGCUGAAUUGCAAAGUAGUUAGUCGUGCUUGCAAUUCAAAUUAAGUAUUGUAUUUUCCCCCUGAUUUGGUUGAUUCAACUAUGUGCAUUUGCUUAUGAACGUUGUAGUACAGAAAUCGAAACAUCUUGUCUUUUGCUAAGCCCAGAAGCAAAUUCUUUGUAUUCUACUCAUCAGUUUUCUUCAUUCUCUUCGUUGAAAUUUUAUCCAAACAGCGGUUUCGAAAUUGUUUUCACCACAAUACCUUAGUCUUUCAGAUGCUCCCGUCACUGAGUUGCCAGAAGAGCUAAAAGCCUUGGUAAAUCUUAAGUGUUUGAACCGGAGUACACAAAUUAUCUCUCUACAAUUCCAAAACAACUGAUUUGUUACUUUUUGAUGCUACAUGUUCUGCGAAUAUUCAGUUGUGAUUAUCUUGUUCAAAUACCAGAAAAUAGCGUUCUAUUUAGUGAUAAUGAAUUCUUGGUUUGGGAGUUGCUUAGUUUAAAACGUUUAAAUGUAUUAAGCAUCAUCUUGAAAAGUUUUUCUGCCGUCCAAAAACUUAUGAGCUCCCAAAAGUUUCAAAGCUGUACACAAUGCUUGGAGCAUAUAGGCUGUGAUGACCCAAAGUCAUUUGCCUUGGCAGAGUUGAAACAUCUUGAAAAACUAGGUUUUUCGAGUUGUGGAAAUUUGGAAGAGUUAAAGUUCUGCUGUGUUGAAGUUGCAAAGGCUCGAGAAUGUUUUCGUUUGAACGGCCCUUGCUGAGUUAAGAUGAAGGCUUGUCAUAAAUUGUGGGAAUCGACAUGUUAUUCAAAUAGAAAAAUGUAUGGAGAUGGAUGUUAAUCUUAAGGUUAUUCAAGCAGACAAAUUCGAAUAAAACUUAUGGUAAGUGCUUUUCCAUUUAUUGCAUAUUUAUAUCUAAUUUUUAUUUUCCUUUAUUGUUAAAUUUUGCUCUAUAUUUGUUUUUGUAUGGUGGCAUUCUUGUACAAUUAUUAGCUUUUCAUUUCUCUUCUCACAUUAACUGCCCUUCUGAUCAUGUAGGAUUUGCUGAUGCAAAGAGUCAUAAUUUGGGAUACAAAUGUAAGAAUUAGACAGAUGACAUGUUGUUUUGAAGCUCUCGAAGAAGAAGGACUAAUUAUGUCAUUGAAAGCCUCCAAUUUUGUGAUUGGUUUCUUUUUAUUUUAUUUGUUGUUUUCUCUAUUUUCAGAUCGCUUAAUUGUUAGUUGUUGUAAUCUAAUAUUUUAGUGUAGAAAAUUAUAUUCGGCCAAGACAGCGAUAGGAGGGCACAUUGUGCAUGCACACUAGUGGAUUUGUCAUGCCAAAUCCAAUUAGGAUGGAUAACACUUUAUAAGCAUUAGGCGUCUCUCGUACCUGAGUAAUAUAGAAUAUGUUUAUAAGUUGUGAAUCACCCUUUAUAAGUGUUAGGCUUCUGCUAUACUCAGUGAUGUGAAAUAUAUUUAUAAGCACUAAACUUCUCCCAUACACUUUAUGUUAAAAAUAAUAAUAAUAAUAAUAAAAUAAACCUAUUUUAACAGACUCUUUUUUCUUUUUCUAUAUGAACAAACGCAUUCUUCAAAGCAAUUGUGGGUAGAAGAAGUGAGUAGAGAAGAACUGGGCCCCUUUCAUUCCUUUAAAACCUCACCAAAACCUCUCUUGUAAGCUUCUCGGAUUUUCUUUCUAUAUUUCUUAGGAACUCAUUUUUUAUUGAAUCACUUCUUUUGCAUGCUGCAUUUUUUGUUUGUCGUAUUUGGGUAUUAUCUUAUCUGGAAUGCUGUUAUGAUUGAUGGAACAAGUAAUCGAUUUUUGGUCUAAUGGAAGUUGAUUUAUUUAUUUAUUGUUAUUUUUAUUUGAAAUUAUGUACAAUUGCAUUUCAUUCAUUUCUCUCUCUCUUUUUCUUUUUUUCCCCCCAUAAAUUUGUUAUGUAUAAUUGCGUUUCAUUUAAUAUUGAUCAUACUGUAGGUAACCAUGUGAUUGUAGAUGGGGAUUUCAAGUUUGUUGAAUAUUCAUGUAAGUGAAGUAACCGUCACAAUACUAGUGAAAUUGGGAGCUUUAUUCAUGAGUUUGUGGUUUUGAAAAGUACCACAGUUCAAAUGAUGAAGGCUCCUUUUUGGGAUUCUUCUUUUUCUAGGCUGCAAUUAGGAUAUGUACAUGAUAGACAAUCUUUUGUUGGUUUGGCAUAUGUUCGCUGAUUUUGUCUUUUAUUCCCCAAUUUUAUAAUUACACACCAUGAAUGUUGGGUGAUUGUAUAGAAAAUUUGUGUUAUAACAAAAACAUUGUGAAGGAGUUUCCGUGCUAAUAGUUGUGGCUUCUGUUUUAUUGGCAUUGAUUGGGUAGAUUACGUGUUACAGUGAUUCAAUUUGUGUUCCAAACUUUGCUUUAAUUUUCUGUUUUCCCCAACUAUUUUUGUCAAAUUUAAAUCCAGAAGCAUGUACUGAUUUUGUCUUUUUGUAUUAAUCUGUGAAGUUUAUUUGGAAUGGAAGUAACUGGGUCAGGUCUAAUGGAUUAAAUUAUGACAUUGAGGGGAAGGCACUAAAAGGGUUUGCUUGACACAUUUGGUUCUGUGUUUACUCUGCAAGAAAUAGCUUUUGCUUAUUGCAAUGCAGGGGGAAAUCCCGAUUUGGCUGGUGAAUUUCUCUGCAACAAACAGGCAAACACCUCAACCUCUUCUGUCCAUACUUCUGCUGGGGAGGCAAGGGGUAAAGAGUCUUCAAAAUCAUCAAAUAGUAACAUCUCUGAGAAUUCAUUUUAUGGAAAUGGAAAAUCUAGAACUUCUAAUACAAAAUGGCAUCUGGUAUCAGGACGUACCGUUUCAAGUUUUCUUGGUAAAGAUUAUGUUAAACCUGCACAGCCAGCUAAUGGCACUUUUCUGGCAUCAAAGCCAUUGAAGUUGGAUCCAAAGGAGUUUCCCAUGUCUGCACUUUGCAGAGAAGAAUCUAAACCGAAACAAUCAAAGGAUGACCAUUUGCAGAAGGACAUGGAAGAUUUUCUGUUUAAAUUUCCAGGAGACGGUUCCAGCUGAACAGGGAUGUGAUUCAGGAGGUUCUCGGUAAUGUCUUAAAUAUAUUGAUGCCAAUUUAAUACAUAUUGUCCUUUUCAAUGUUCUUUCUUUCUUUCUUUCUCUUCUUUUAUUCUUCUUCUUCUUUUUUUUUUUCAUGUGCAUGUGAUCGCUAAUUUGGUAUUAUUUUUAACUUGCAGAUACUUGUGGAUAUGAUAUGCAAAAGGUAAGGACUAUAUCCUCCUGAUGGAGGCCUCUGCUUUUCCCUUCUUUGUACGUAAUUUAGUAAAUCGCAUCUUCUAUAUAUCAUACCAAAAUCCAGUCUUAAAUGCUGCUGGCAUAUGUUAAGGUUCAACUUGCAUUUUGAUUAACGUCCAUUUGCUACGGCUUCCAAAAUUGAGAAUGAGAUACUUUGGUUAAUUUCAGUAGUUGAACCCAAUAGGGUACUUUAUUUAGAUCUUCAUGGUUCAAAGGCCCGAAAAAACUUACAGGUAUACCUGCAAAAUGACACUCUGUGCUUUUAUUUAUACUUAUUAUUUAAGUGAUAAAAAUUCCCCAAACCUGCGGUCAAGAAAAUUUCAGAGAGUUAAAGACUCCAUUUUGUUUCAGCCAAAAAUGUUUAUUUCAAUUAAAGAUUUGAACCAUUUUCAUUUAACCUGAUUGUGAUGCUUUACAUUGUGCACGCUCCUCUCGAUCAAUAAACGUUGAGGUCAUGAUUUUAUAUUUCUAUAUUGUAACCUGAAAUAAUAAUUGGUUUGCAUGUUUCUGUAGCUUGAUAACAUGAAUUUUCCUUCUGAAGUUACUUUGAUCAAUAAAGUUAUUCUUCGGAGAAGAUAUGCCCAUUCUAUAAUCAUUUUCCUAGCUAAUAUGUUUUUUUCACUCUUCUGAGCAUGUCUAAACUAAUUGAUCGCUCGGCAGAGACUUUGGGUAAGAAAACAAAAUUUCAUGGUAAAUCCUCUGAAAAGGUAUGCAUAAUUGAAACAAUCCGCCCCGAAUCCCCCCAGGCGAGUCUAUCUAGUCUCAUCAAAACGGACUUGAUAAUAAUUCUAUUAGUAAAGACGACAGAAUCUCUUUUAUAUAUAUAACACUCCCAAUGUACAAAUAUAAAUAUAAUACUUUCAAUACAAUUCAAUAUACAACAAACUCCAGUGAUCAAUAUCCUCAACUAAAAUGCUGAGUUUUAUAUUAGAGUCUCAAAAGAUAAUAUUAUAACUAAUAUUAAUAUCUCAGUUUAUUUUUAAUCCCAAAAGAAUAAUAUAACAAAAUUAUACAAUCCCAACAGGACGAGAUAACCAAGAUGUCCUAACAAAAACAUUUAUAUCUUCUAGCACCAUCACGUGGCCAAGACUCAAAAUAUAUUUACAAUCGCUGGGUCGGUCUGGUGUACCUGCAACCUACUGGUGAGGGGGGAAAAUAUAAUAAAAACAGGGUGAGUUUAAAACUCAGUGAGAUCGGUGAGUAGAUAGUAGUUUUGUAAAUUAAUUCUUACUUUAAAAGAAAUAAUCAUGUCAUUUCCAAACAUGAUUUCAUUAAACUAUAAGCGAGAAACCAGUAAUAAAUCAUUAAACAUUUAAAUCAGAUUAUUAACCAUGGAAAUCAUAUCACAAUAUCAUAUAGAAUUCACAAAUCGGAAAAUCAUCACCAAACAAGUACCCAGAGAAAUAAUCUCGUCAUAUCCGGACCUCAACGGACGGGCAAUGACGUACUAUCUGGGUAACGUCACACCCCGGAGCUACACGGAUAGACAGGGAAAUACCAUCUCAUAUCUCAUCAUAUCUGUGCAUGCAUAAUCUAGUCCCCAAGGGACAAAAGCGCCCAAGCACACGGCCCAAAGCGCCCAAGCACACGGCUCAAAGCCUCUAUGUGUACUCAGACGGGCCCCAAAGGCCUGUAUCUCACAUGUAUCAUAUGUAUCAUUUGUAUCUCAAUAUUUGUCUGUAUCUCAUAUCCGUAUAUCUGUAAUCAUCAUACCGCAUGCAUAUGCCCCCAAAAGGCAAAAAGCGCUCAAACACACGGCCCAAAGCUUUUAUAUGUGUUCAGACGGGCCCCAAAAGCCUCUCAUUUCAUCUUAUCUGUAUCACUGUAUCUGGAGGGAAGGGUACUGUCUAAUGAUUUAAAAAACAAUCAUUAUACUCAUAUUUACAUACCUCUUAACCAUAUUUGAAGUCAUAUCACAUUUGAAUCCACUUUUCUAAUCUUUAAAAUAUUAUCAUACUUUAUUCAAAGUCGAUACGCAAAAUCAAUAACCAAACAUUUUAAUAAAAUACCAAUGCGUAAAUAAAAUCUAUUUCGAGAAAUCAUUAAAUCAGAACAUUUAAAAUACUUAUUUUGCAAACAUGUUUUACUAUUAUCGCUAACUAUGAAAAUAAGUUUUGUAUAUUCCACUCUCAGUGACGAUGUUCACGGUCGGUUAUCGUCCAUAUCUGCAGACCGAUUCUCGCUCGCGGAUCCUCCUAAAUCAAGGAAACGACAUAAUUAUUUUUCGUAAAUCGGAAUUAUGACUAAAUUUUAUGCAAUAAACUCAAAACGAACAUCUAUUCAUAAUUGACAACUCCUAUAUCCAUAAAAUUACUAAAAUGUCCUUGAGUCCGUAGAUCAUUAACAUGCUCCGAAAUCGUAAAUCACUUAAUUACCCUCGGAAUCGUAAUUACACCUGAUCCUCAAUUCUAGGAAUUACUAACAUAUCCACAGGCUCAGAAAUUACAAAAUUGCCCUCAUAGUGUGAAAUUACCAAAAACCGGAAGUUGGUCAACACUGGCUAGGAAGCUCGAAUCGUAAAGUUCCAAUCACGCUGAGUUCAAUGGUACCGGCGGUGAGCUCCAAUGCGCGGCAACGACGCUGGAAUCUAGCUCGGCAGUCGUGAAUUCCACCAAUCGACCGGCGGCAAAACAGUGACUCUCGGUGCCUAUGGAUGGUCGGAACUGGAAGAGGGAGUCGUGGGGAACAAACUCCAACCGGUGGUGUCACCAAAACCGGCGAAAAUCCCGGCGGAGCAAAGUGAAACAGUCGCGGGUUUCAUGCUUCGAUCGCCGGUGUUCCGAUUGGUUUUUGGCGAGGAGGAUGGCAAGGGAACGACGGCCGGCUUCUAAGCUUCAGAUUGGUACCAAGCUCGGCCGAAAUGGUGGCUGGCAAUGGGAGAUAUGGCCGGGUCAAGGUCGCGGGUUCCGGGUCGGGUUUUCGGGUCUGUAGUUGGGUCGGUUUGGCAGCUUCUCUCUCACUCUCUGUUACACGUGCAUAUGUUUCGUCUGUUUCCAGCUUAUUCUUUUGCUUUUACUAACUUCUUAACCGCCUCAUACUUAUUCAUUUUUAAUUCUCAUAUGUUACAAUAAUUCCCGAGUAUUAAAUAACCAGUGGUCAUAAUUUUUGUACAAGAUUCUUUUUUUUUUGGAGAUCGUUAAAAGUGGUUGACGAUCCAUUUUGUAAUAUCAUAGAGGGAUCAUCAAUUCCUUUUCUUUUCUGUGGCUAGGCAACACUUUUUGGCCAAACUAAGGAAAUCUAUUUUAGGUAAUGUAAAAACCAGUUAUAGGAUGUAAUAGUUUAUUAUGUACUGACAAUAACUUUUUGUAUAAUUGUCAGUUUAAUGAAUACAAGAGGAACUCUGUUGGCAAAUUCAUCCAACUAAAAUUAUUUAUGCAUGCCCGUUGCCUUAACUAAGUUUUCUCAGCACUGGUUUUGAACAGGAAAAUGAAUAUGCAAUUUGUAUAUUGUGCCAUAGUGGAGAAUUUGGAUAUUCUUAUUUAAGUAACAAGGAGAUUAUUUGCCUCAUCUUUAAACAAUGAAUCUUUGAGAGAUGAGGAGUGGGUGAUUGGCUGUGUCUUCAUGUAAUUGUUCAUUUAUUUGUAUUUUGAACUGUUAUGAAAAUCUUUAUAUGCCAAAUUAGUAAUACAAGUAUUCAGAUGAUUUUUCCUAUUGAUCAUGCAUUUGUAUCUGCCCACAACCAUUGUAUAUCACUUUAUUCUGAUGCGCAAGCAUCUGUAAUUUAGAAGAAAAGAAAUAAUAAUCAUAUUUUAUUGCUUGGUUCAUGAUUAUUAACGAUUAUGGCUUUAAAAAUCUACAAAUUUCUUGUGUUCAUGUAUGAAUGUGCCAAGUUUGCUGUAUCUUAGAUUACCUUCUUCCAAGAUAACAAGUUCAUAUAUUUUUUUUUUUAAAAUCCUUUUCCAUUACAGUUGAAUUUCAAGUGUUAGUUUUGUUAUUAGUACCUGGUUUCCUGUUAUUAGGAUCUAAUAAACAGUGUACGGAUAUGUGCUCUACUUUUGGAGGGCCUCCACGUGAAAGAAAAUUGCAACAAUUGAAUUCUUCCGGAGGGUAUGGUAAUUAAUUUAUUUUCUCAACUUGUUGUAAGACUAAUAUAUUUCCUUCAGUAGGCACGGCAUGGUGGGAAGGGUUUUUAUUGAAAGAAUUCUGAUAUUUCUUAGACUUUGUUUUGGAAGGGGGUGGAGGGAUUUCUCAUCCAUAUAUGGUUACUUGAUUAGCUUUUGACUGUAUUGUCUCCGUCGUGCAAAGGAAAAUCUAAAUACUAACGAUGGGGAAUUGCUUAGGCACCCAAAAGGCAGAAAUGAAUUACAGAAGGAAGUUUUUGCUGCUUUAUUUAGUGCUGCUGAGAAAUCUGAUGAAUUUCCUGAAAUUACGGUGAAGACCGAGUGGAGGUCCAAAGCAUUAGGAAAGGUGGUGAGUGAACUGCCGGAGGAAUUAGUACCAGAAUACAAGGCUAAUGUGGUGCACUUGCAGCAAGAUAACCAGACCGGUAUGUGCUCUUAUAUUAACUAUAUUGACUGGAUUUGUUAGUGUGUGCAUUUUUUUGUGUAUACUCACUUUUGUAUUUAUGCAUAUUAACAUGUGUAGGAUUCUUGAUUUCUGCCACUUACUGGAGAACUAGUGGAAAGCUUUAUACUGAUAUAUCUGCAAUAACUAAUGGAAACUAUGAUAUGAAUAUUUUCUCUCACCUGGGGAGCUGUGUAACAGAUAUACUUUGUGGCUCUGGAAUGCUGAAGAUUCUGCAAUAACUAAUGGAAAAUAUGAUAUGAAUAUUUUGUCUCACCUGGAGAACUUUGUUACAGAUACCCUUUGUGGCUCUGGAGUGUCUAAAGAAUGCUUCCGUUAGAUCAAAUAUCUUUUAGUUAGAAAAGAUAAAAUUCUCUGAGUCUGAAAGACUGAAACAUUUUGCAUAUUUUGUGAAAGGGAAAUAUCUGUUGAUACUAGCUCAUGCAUUGAGGUAAUAUCGAUGUUAAAGAAAAACAGCAAUGAUUUAUGAUAUAGAAUUGGGUUCACUUGCUUUAAAUGCUGGUCUGAUCAACCAUAUCAACCUGUAAUGAUUCUGCAGAAAUAUAUAUACAAGGAGAAAGUAGCUAAAUUUUUCUUUCAUUUAUGGGUUCGGUCUUUUUUCCCCUUAUUUUUCAGCUUUCCUUCUCCUGAAGUAUGUUAACAAUUGCAGAUAAUGAUGAAGAGGACAGCUUCCAGGCUCUCCUUAGAGCCGUGAUGGAAUAUAGGGGCACAAUGAAGGAAUAUUGUAAAGCUGUAGGUACUUUUUCUCCUGUCAUUUAUGUUUUCUCACACAUUUUGUAUAUGCCCUGAACAUGCACCUUUGUAUGUAUCAAUUGACUUUUAAAUUUUAAAAGCCAUAAAGUAAGAAUACGGUUCCUUGUCAGGCUACUGAUGACAUUCGCUCAGGGGGAUCAUGUUCGAGCAGGAAAAUUUCUAGAACAGGUAAGGUUUCCAUCUACAGCCAUCCAUUGACAGCAGAUAAAUUUUCAUUCAGCAGACUCUGUUAGCAUUCAAGAUGCUGGCAGAUUCACUUGAUUCUUAUUAGCUUGUUUAGUGGCAAAGCCUAUAACCUGUAUUUCAAAGCCAAGUUGUGCUAUUGAUUAUGUUAACUUUUUUGUUAACAUAAAAUGAUAUGGAGGAAAUAAUCAGUGUUGGAAAAUUAGGUGAAAAGAUGAUGUCAAAUCUUGAACCUCUUGCGAAACUCUAAGUUCUUUACUUGAAGAGGCUACCAAAUUUGAACAGCGUCUACUCGAAGGCCUUGCCAUUCCCUGAUGCAUGCAGAAUUUUUGUAUUUAAAUGCCCAGAGCUUAAGAAGCUGGCACUGGAUCUUGAAGGGGCAGACCAAGGUAAAAUUCUUAUCAAGGGAAAGGAAGAUUGGUGGAAACAACUUAAUGGGAGGAUCAAGUAACUCAGAAUACAUUGCUUCCAUUUUUUAAAUCGACUGACAAGUGAUUGAACGGGGCAUCAUCAAUAUCAUCAACAGGGAUGGAGAGAUGCCGGAGCAGAUCAGCAGGGUUUGAAUAUGACCUUCGGCGGUUGCUUUUUUUUUUUGUGAUUUUUUUUCAUUUUUUCCUUCCUGUCAUUUUAUCAUUUCUUUGGCUCUGUUUCUAUUGCGGGUGUUACUGCAUGCUUACUGUUGCUUGACAAAGUUUGCUAGCUUUUUGUUUGCAGCGCUGCUAUACGCCCCGAGUCAAGCCCCGAAAAUUUAUUAAACGACGCCGUUUCGACAGUAACAAUUCUUUUCUUUUCCCUUUGCCUGUUUCUUUCAUCUGCAGUUUCUCUAUCACUUUUCAUUUUUGAUUUCCGUGCUUCCCAGCUGCCCCUAAAUUGUUAUUCUAGCAAUAUACUUUCUCAUCUUUGAAUUUUCAUCCUUGAGUACUCCCACAGCCGUAAUUUCAUCAUUAUAGACUUCACUUGGAAUGCUAGAUUUUUUCGAUUCUUGAGCUACUUCAAUUACAUCUUAGUAUAGGAUCCUCAUCUUCCUUUAUUUCUUCAUCUUAUGAGGUAACAAAUGGAUUUCACAACUCAUCUACUUUUAAGCAAUUACAUAUUAUACCCUGAAUGAUUCAACUGUUCCGACAGUUAAAGAUUUUAUGCUCAACCUGCAGUGCUACGAACAUUGUCCAUGAAAGAUGAGUUUCAGCAUAUAAAAUGAAGUAUAGAUGUUUAAUCUAAAAUAACCCUUCACUGCCAGAAACCUAGGUCGCAAAAUUCACAGAUAAUGAUAAAGAGCUAAAAAAUUUGAAAAAACUCUACAGAUCACACAUCAAGCAAGAUAUCAUGUUUUUUCCCUCAUUCGGUGGUGAUUGAUUCGCUUUUUGAUGAUGGAUAUGGUAUAAAAGUUUUGACCCAAUUUCAAGCAAACACAAAUAGAAACACAAACACAAUCGGGACUAGAGUUGUGGGCGAUUAUCUCAGGUGUACAAGUGAAACGGUGGUGGCUGUCGAUGGUGGUAGUGGGGUGGUUGGGUAUGCGUGAUGGCAAGAUUUUAGGACAAUAAUGGUUGGAGUUGACCUCAAUCAAUGAAGGAAAGGGACAACAAUUUUGACAUCAAACGGUGCAUAUUUUAGUUUAGUAAAAUGGAGCCGUUUCGAAUUUGGGAUUUAAUCCGGGUUUGACGCGGUGCAAGUAUCAUUUUCCUUUUGUUUAUUAAUUUUUUUAUGGUCACAAAGUAUUACUCGUUCUAUUUGACAGUGAUGUGAAUCAAUUUUUCAAUUUUAUAUUUUGUGGUCAAUAUGAAUUCAAUUUCAUUUGUCUCCUGCAAUUAUGAAAAAAUUACAGAGUCAUAAUAUGGAAAAGUACACCGGCAAAAACUUUUUAAAAGCUUCGGAGUGAUACGGGGAAUUCACUUACUACUAAGGACAACUGGUGGCAAGCUAUUCCAUUCAUUUUAUGUCCAUCCAUCUAUUUAGUUAUUGAAGACUAGUGGUCCAUUUGUAAAUUUCAGAUUGUCUCUCUCUCUCUCUCUCUCCCUCUUGAAAUAACAAUAUUUAAUAUAUCUCUUAAAUUAUUAUAAAUUUUAAUUUACUCUCGAUUUAAAAUGGAGCAUGUCGAUAAUUUUUUUUUUCUUCUUAAUAAAAUUGACGCAAGUUGUGUUUACAGUAGUUUGAAGUUGGAAGUAUUUUAAAGAUUAUUAUUCUAUAAGGGAGUAAUAUGAACUGAAAUUUACUUUUCACGUGUGAAAUGAAAAAGGACGAAGCAAGUGUCCCUGCUUUUAUUUUAUUUCAAGGAGGAGUCAUCGCACAUACUUUAGCUCUUAACAUUACAUUUUUAUUUUUUUUUUACACAUGCGUGUGGGGGUUGCUUUUCUGUAAGCUCCUUAAUAUAUAUUUAAGACAAAUCAUGGAAGAGAUGGGAUUAUAUCAAGAUGAUCAAAGCAUGUAAAAAAAGAAAAAAGAAAAAAAUAAUUAAGAAGUAAGACACUGAAAAUGGAGAAGAGAUGGAAGCAAAAGAUAUUCCAAAACAAAGCAAUCUAUCCCCUUUCGAGGGCAGACUUAUGAUGUUUAAAAAAGUACAUGCUUUGGAUUGGUAGUUGCAAUCAAGGGAAAAUAAAUAGGAUCCAAUGAAAUUUAAAUCUCGGAGAAAAUAAAUAAUCAUGCUGAUUUUUAAGAUUUUAAUAAGGGAUACUAAUAUCUUAUUUUGAUUAAUAAUAUCCUUUCAUUGUGUUAACUCAAAAAAAAUAUAUUUUAAUGUUUUACAAUAAACAGAAACGUACUAUUAAAAUGAAUAUAUAAAGAAUUUAGAAAAUUUAGAAUGUUAUAUAAAAUAAUUUUAAUAUAAUGCGUGAGAUAUAUUUUUUUAAUUUAAAAUGUCAUUUUACCUAAAAAAUAUGAUAAAUUAAUAAUUACAUAUUUGAAGUUAUUUCAAAUAUUAAAAAAAUUUAAUAUUAUUAAUCUUUUGGAUAGAUUAAAUUAUUUUUUAUAAGAGAUAAAUUAAAUUAUUUUAAAAUGCCUUAAUUGUUUUUACUUUUAACAUUACCGGCCUUUCUUUUAUUUUAUUGAAAAUUAAUGCUAACAAGAAAAAGCUAGAUCAUAUUCCACAAAAAAGCAAAAGUGACAAACACAACCAGCUGGAAUCUUUUAUAAAACUACAAAUUAAAAUGAAUUUUUUUUUGGGAAAAGGACACAGAGACCCCUAAUGUUUGAAUAAGGGACACAGAGAUCCCUAACGUUUGAAAAAGGGACACAAAACCCCCUAAGGUUUUAAAAAAGAUACUAAGACCCCUAUUUGUUAACAGAAAUUAUAAUUUUAAAGUGCAAUUACCAUUAUAUCCUUAUAGCAUAUUAAAAAAUAAUUAUUCAUUGUCCAAUUUAUUUCUAUAUUAUUAAUAAAAUUAUGAAUAUAACUUCAUUACCCAAUUUUUCCAUUUUAUUUAGUACAAUUAAGAUUUUGUAAUUAUUGUUGUAACCAAUUUUUUUUUUAUUUUGUUGAUUAUAUAAGUUUAAAUGAAGAAUUGUUAUUGAGAAUUGUUAUUUUUAUUAUAUUAGUAAUCAAUUUAAUUUAUUUUUAUUCUUGAGCAAUGAAUUAAAUUUAUUUAGUUGAAGAGAAAAUUUGACAAAAAAUAAAUGAAAAAAAUUGGAUAAUGAAGUUAUAUUCGUAAUUUUAUUAAUAAUAUACGAAUAAAUUGGACAAUGAACAAUUAUUUUUUAAUAUGCUAUAAGGGUAUAAUGGUAAUUACACUUUAAAAUUAUAAUUUAUGUUAAUAAAUGGGGGUUUGAGUGUAUUUUUUGAAACCUUAAGGGGUUUUGUGUUCCUUUUUCAAACGUUAGGAAUUUUUGUAUCCCUUAUUCAAAUAUUAGGGAUCUCUGUGUCAUUUUCUCUUUUUUUUUUUUGAUAAAUUACACAUGAAAGUGAAUUCUUUUGAAUAUAAGUGGGGUAGGCUCUUUUAUUUUAUUUUUGAAUACUGUAUAACAGGACUGUAGACUCUUUUAUUAAACUACAAAUUGUAUAGUCUUUUUCAAAUUGUUCAGAUAUUUAUAAAUUGGUGGCCCCUACGAUCCUCAAUAAUUGUACCGAUAUUCACAAGUUGGUGGCCCCUACAAUUCUGUUCGCAAGUGCUCAUUCACAAUCUUCCAGGUCAUGCUCUUAAUAAUUUACAUGAUCAAUUCUCUAAAUAUUUAGGGUAUAUGUGAACAUCGGUGGAGAAGCUUUAUUUAAUAUUAUUGAUUUAAAUAAUAUGUCAAUUAAAAAUGUGCGGAGAAGAAAUUUCGGUGGGUAUUUUAGUUUUUUUAACAAUUAUCAUGAUCAGAUCAGCCUUUAGCCUUGAAACGUCGGUCCGAAAAGUUUUAAAAUUAACGCUAACAAGAAAAAGCUAGGUCAUAUUCCACAAAAGCAAAAGUGACAAAAUAACCAGCUGGUUUCUUUUACUAAACUACAAAUUAAAAGUGGAUUCUUCAGACGAUUAGGCUCUUUUUAUUAAACGCAAGUAAAAAGUAGUCGAAUAGUCUUUUUCAAAUUAUUGUUUUAUUAUUUUUCCUUCAAAAGUUAGUGUGGCUCAUGUUUGCAGGUGCGAAUGUGCGAUGCUCUUUUUUUAAAGGCAAUUACAGUGGGUCCCGAAUCAUUACUAAAAUUUCUAUUCCACAGCCCACCGCAGCUUCAGUUAAUCAAACUCCAUCAAUUUUCUUUCUUAACAAAAUUCUAAAGAUGUGUAGCAUUUUUCAGAUCACAUGCGAUGGUGCUUUUUUCAAUCGUUGCUUGGAUUGCUUUCUUGGAAAAGCAGCAUACAUACGUAACCUCCAAGAUAAUCUUGUAGCCUUGCAGACUGAAUUGGGAAAUCUGAUCGCUAAAAAGAAUGAUGUGAUGAGGAGGGUUGACAAUGCUGAACGGCAACAAAUGAUUAGGCUGGAAGGAGUGCAAGUGUGGGUUUCGCGAGUGGAAGCUGUUAAAACUGAAGCUGAUCAAUUUAUAAGAGACGGCUCUCGAGAAAUUGAAAAAUUAUGUGUUGGAGGCUACUGUUCCAAGAAUUGCAUGUCAAGCUACAAGUUCGGGAAAAAAGUGGCUAAAAAGCUACGGGAUGUGCGGACUUUAAUCAGUGAAGGAGUUUUUGAGGUGGUGGCUGACAGAGCUCCAGAGUCUGUAGCAGAUGAAAGACCUACCGAGCGAAAAGUAGUAGGCUUGCAAUCACAACUUGAACAAGUCUGGACGUGUCUUGUGGAAGAAUCAGCGGGAAUCAUUGGCCUAUACGGUAUGGGCGGUGUUGGUAAAACCACACUAUUGACCCAUAUCAACAAUAAAUUUCUCGAGAGUCCAACCAACUUUGAUUGUGUGAUUUGGGUUGUAGUUUCAAAAGACCUGCGACUUGAAAAAAUUCAAGAAGAUAUUGGGAAAAAGAUAGGUUUGGUUGGUGAUUCAUGGAAGAGUAAAAGUGUAGAGGAGAAAGUUGUCGACAUCUUCCGGAGUUUAAGAGAGAAGAGAUUUGUAUUGUUGUUAGAUGAUAUAUGGGAGCGGGUUGAUUUAACAAAGGUGGGCGUUCCACUUCCCGGACCAAAAAAUACUACCUCAAAAGUCGUAUUCACAACCCGUUUCAUCAAUGUUUGUGGUAGCAUGGAAGUUGACAGGAAGUUUCAAGUGGCAUGCUUAUCAGAAAAGGAUGCUUGGGAACUGUUUCGAGAAAAAGUUGGGGAAGAAACUCUUCAGAGUGAUCAUGAUAUCGAUGAGCUAGCCCAAAUUGUGGUCAAAGAGUGUGGUGGUUUGCCACUCGCACUUAUUACUAUUGGUCGAGCUAUGGCCUACAGAAAGAAAGCGGAGCAGUGGAGACGUGCAAUUGAAGAGUUAAGGAGAUCAGCUUCAGAGUUUGCAGGUUUGGGAAAAGAGGUGUAUCCUCUUUUAAAAUUCAGCUAUGAUAGUUUGCAGAAUGAUACAAUUAGAUGUUGUUUCUUGUAUUGUUGUUUAUAUCCUGAAGAUUAUGGCAUUCUUAAAUGGGACUUGAUUGAUUGUUGGAUUGGCGAGGGAUUUUUUGGGGAAUCUGACAGGUCUGGUGCAGAAAGCCAAGGAUAUGACAUUUUGGACACUCUUGUUCGUGCAUGUUUAUUAGAAGAGGUGGAAGAUGAUAAAGUAAAAAUGCAUGACGUUAUUCGUGAUAUGGCUAUAUGGAUAACUUGUGAAAUUGAGAAGGAGAAGAGAAACUUUUUGGUUCGUGCAGGUGCUGGAUUAAAAGAGGCACUGGGUGUUAAAGGAUGGGAAAAUGUGAGAAGAUUGUCAUUGAUGCAAAACCAAAUUGAAACUCUGUCAGAGGUUCCCACAUGCCCUCAUCUCCUCACUUUAUUUCUUGACUUUAAUCAGGAGUUGGAGAUGAUCGCGGAUGGCUUCUUCCAACUUAUGCCUUCUCUCAAAGUUUUGAAGAUGUCAAACUGUUGGAAUUUGAAAUUACCGGUUGGGAUGUCAGAGUUGGGUUCAUCACUAAAAUUUCUCGAUAUUUCAGAAACACCAUAACAGAGUUACCGGAAGAGUUAAAGAAGUUGGUAAAUCUGAAAUGUUUGAAUUUGAGGUGGACACAGCAUUUAAAUAAAAUUCCACGGCAACUAAUAUCAAAUUCUUCAAGGUUACGUGUGUUGAGAAUGUUCGCUACUGGCCGGUUCAAUUUUCAUGAAGCACCAGAAGACAGCGUUUUAUUUGGUGGGGGUGAAGUUUUAGUACAGGAAUUGCUCGGUUUGAAAUAUUUAGAGGUAUUGGAGUUGACCUUGGGAAGUUAUCAUGCUCUCCAAAUUCUUUUGAGCUCAAAUAAGUUAAAAAGUUGUAUUCGAUCUCUUUACCUCGAGUUGACCGGAGAUACAGCGUCAAUUAUUGAUGCUACGGCUUUCGCAGAUCUAAACCACCUCAAUGAAUUAUGUAUUGAUAAUGGUAUUGAGUUGGAAGAGUUGAAGAUUGAUUAUACGGAGAUAGUAAGAAAAAGGUGGGAACCUUUUGUUUUCCGCAGCCUUCACUGUGUUACCAUAUAUAGUUGCGGUAAAUUGAAAGAUUUGACAUUCCUCGUUUUUGCUUCAAACCUCAAGUCUCUUCGGCUACGCAAUUGCUAUGCUAUGGAAGAAAUAAUCAGCGUCGGAAAAUUUGCUGAGACUCCUGAGAUGAUGGGACAUAUAAGCCCUUUUGAAAAUCUCCAAAUGCUUGAUUUACAAGGUUUGCCACAUUUGAAGAGCAUCUUCUGGAAGCCAUUGCCUUUCACUCAUCUGAAAGAAAUGGAGGUACUUAGGUGCGAUCGGCUUGAAAAGCUUCCACUCGAUUCCAACAGGGCAAAGGAGCGUAAAUUUGUUAUUCGUGGAGAAGAAGACUGGUGGAACCGACUUCAAUGGGAGGAUGAAGCCACUCAAAUUGCUUUUCGUUCCUGUUUUAAAAGUGAUGCUUUAUUUAUAUCUUAUUCGUGAAAAGUGAUUUAAUUUCCUGCCAAAAGACGAACGAGAAGAACAUUAGAGUCAAACUAAUGCUCACAUAAAUUUCCCGUAAGAAUAUAUAAUUAGACUGGAAUGCACACCUCUAGAUUGAACAGAAUUAAAGCUGAGAAAAUAUUGAGUAUAGUAGCCCUCUUUACAGAAAAUGACGCGAAAGUUAAUUUAGAAAGAUAUAUUCUUGAUUAAUCCAUUUUCUGAAGUUUUUAUUUUGUAUGGUCAAUUAUACCUUCAUACUAAAAAUUUCUGAAGUUAUAAAUUAGUGCAACUUGACAAUUUUUACUGAUGAUAUCUUCUAUUUUUCCUUUUUUUUUUUUCACUUUCAUAGAAUGGCAGCGGAUCCUGCGUCACCAAUUUGAGAGAAUAUACUGACACUACUUCGAACAGCAAGCAGAAGAAGUAAUAUGUCUACGGCAAAGGCAAUGCAGUCCUCAUUUUGGCUUGAGAUGCAGUAAUCAUCGAAGAGAGUUUCCUUGUGAAACUGGGCAACACAUUGAAUCCCUUCGCCACUGAGAAGGUUGUGGAGGAAGUAAGCUUUCUCUCCAGUGAGGAAGAGGUGGCAUACCUUCCCCAUUUUGUCGAGGACAGGUAGGAAUCUUUUUUCUAAGAGAUUUACUUCGUUCUCUGUAAGAAAUGCUUUGAACUUCAUCCCUCUGUCUCUAUCCUCACUUAUCAGGAGAUAAGUUGAAAGCACUAUGAAGAGAGAGAGAGAGAGAGAGAGAGAGAGAAUUAAGAUAUAUAGACAAGAAAAAUAUUAGACGUUGAUCUUACAAACUAAUACUUCAAGCAGUAUCCUGGAAAGCUAAAAACUGCAAGAUGGCUUGAAAUUUGAAAAGAGCACAUGCUUUUCCUCCUUAACUUGAGAAAAUGUUUAAUAUAGUGCACCUUACAGAAGCAUUUAAGCAAUUAGAACUUUGCACAAAAACAUCAAGAAGACUAAACAAGUCAGAUGCAGUGUAUUUGUCCAAGCACAAAUUGCAUUUUGUCCUCAACUUUAAUAUUUAUUGAUGAGAAUCAAUACAGGUCCCUCAUUUGUUAUAGAAAGCUUUCUUUCUUGUAGUCUCACCAGUUAAUUCACAGGUCUAUAAUCAUCUUGCAAAGUUAAGGGCAUUUCUUUUGAUCUAAAGUCUUUGCAUCACCACCUCAUCACACGCCAAGCCAAUAUUCCAUUUACCUCUACAACAAAAAGUUUUAAUUAAACAAUCCUAAUGCACGCAGCCAAAUAAAAUGCAGUAAGAAUAUUCAACUUAAAAAUCUGAAAGCCAACUUGGUGAAUUUCCUCCUUAGGUGAAGUUCCAUGCUUUACUAUAGUUGACAGAACUCAGCAAAAGCUUCCAUACAACAGAUUUUGAAAAUGAUGAUGCCAACAGAUACUCAUUCAAUCCAUUGAAACUCCAAAGGUUCAUUGUUCAUAGAAGUUUACAGAGUUUUGGUCAUCAAAUAGCUCAGACCUAAUCCCAAACAAAAAACGAGUGAAAAUUAGAUCACGAGCAGCUAAUUGUAAAUUCUAACAACUCUUCAUCUCCUUUGUAAACAAGAAACAAAAUGGAGACACGCAAAAUGAAUAUGGAGAAAAUUUGAACUCAAAUGAAAUGAGGGCACGAAAGCAAACAAAUGGCAUGCACAAAAAAACCAAGCCUCAAUCAAAAACUAAUUAACCAUUA
rnacentral:lncRNA from 1 species